UGUGGUAUUUGUGGUAUAAGGCAUAGUGAUAUUGCCUUCUCUCUCACCCUACUCUAAUAAGGCUUUUGAUAUCUGGAGCUCAUAGGUGGGAGAUAAAAUAUACAUACUUACAAAACAUUUAUUGCAUAGUCAAACCAUGGAUCUAGAAGAACAAGUCAAUAAGUCAAAUCAAGAUGUGCAUGUGUGGCGAAUGAAUGGUGUAUAGUGAUGAUGAUGAGAACAAUGGUGAAAGUCUAAUUCUACUUUUGCUCUUUUGAGGGGAUACAUACCUUCCUUGCUUUUUGAAACUUUGUGAGGAGAAUGAGAUGCUCUUCUUUUUCUUUUCUCUCAGGUGGGUAUCUUGUACCCCUAAUUGUACUGUCGGACACUUGUCCAUUUUUACCUCUCGUCUCACUUUUUCUUUUCUUUCGAGGUUCCGGGCACUUGCCCCUUUUUAUUUCCUCGUAUCUCUUUUUUUAGAGCACUCAUCUCAUGAGAUAAUAUAGCAAGUGGUAGUAACAAGAUAACUUGAGCAUUUAUUUCACAAGGGAAAAACAGAAAUGUUUUUGGCUAUUCUCUCCCGGAUUAGGAGUAGAAUAUUUUUGGGUGGUUCUGGAGAUGGAAAUGAGUGGAUAUAUGUGGAUGGUACUUCUGGAGUAGAAGCAGCAUGUGUGAGUGAACGUGCAAGUGAAUCUUGAUUUAACCACAUGACAAGCUCCUAAGGGUCUACACAGCUUGACCACACUCAAUGCUCAUAAGCAGUAAAAAGUAAAUGUGUGGCUCAAAGUCUAGCAAGCAUGUAUAUAUGACUGUGGUAGGAAUUUAAACUCUCAUCAUACAGGAACUCAUCAUGCAAUAUUUUAUAGAUUUUAAAAGAUAAAAUUCUCCAGAAUUCUAGCAUCUCUAGGAACAGAUAAACAGCAGCUCAACCUUCCCAUAUCAUAUCCGUUAACAACUUAGACUUCAGAUCAAGUUUUCUUCCCACAAGUUUAGGUUUAGAGCAAGCUUUAAAUUAUAACAGUUAUGUCUAAACUUGAGAGAGAACUCAGAUUUGAAAAUUAGGCAGAGCAACUAUUCAUCAUAUCCAUGCUAGAGUUUUACUAUUAAGAUUCAGUUUAGCAUAACCACUUUAUUUAAUUAUUAAGCACACUAAGCAAAAGAUAUAUAUAAGCACAAAAAAUCUUUAUUUUGUUUUUCAUAGUAAUAUAUAUUUAUAUUUUAAUAUAGUAUAAGUAUAAAGAUGGAUAGAAAUACUUAGCGAGAUAAAUGGGGGUGCUCUCCCCCAAGCAAAAUUUUGACGUAAUUUCUCUUGAUGUAGCUAGCAGGUGGCAGAGGUGUAUUUGAAAGUCGGCAGCACCGUGACAGCGAUUAGAAUAUCCUCCGUCUGCUAGUCUUCUUGAUUCUUAAAUUAUGUGGAGCUCAAAUAGACGACAAAGCUUUGUGGAACUGAUUAAGUGUUAGCAUAAAUAUCUAGCCUUUAUCAUGUUGAGUCUCCUCAAUAAAUGUUACUCCCUAUUUUUAUAUUUUCGAUUUAUAGAGCAGAAAAAAAUAUUUAUUUUAUUUUUAUACCACCACAGUGAAUGUACUUAUGGGUUUUAUGCCACUCGUAUACUCACAUGGGGCUUACUGUUUUUAACACUUUUAUUUUCUUUUUAGGAUAGUAUGAACCUGAUUAACCAAGCAAACUAGUUGAAAUAAUUGAAAGGAAAAAGAUAACUACCAAGUUUACCUCUUGGCAAGGCGUUCGGUGUUUUUAAGUCCUCCGAACGGGACUCUCCGUUUUCUCAUUCGUCCUGGAAUUCGUUGGAUGGCAGAGUCAGUAUUUCCGGCAGCGCCUCCUCUUCAUGUAUAGUUAUCUUCUCUUUCCAUUCCUGACUCGGUGCUACGGUUUCCUCUGGAUAAUUUUGUUUAAACUGUAUGUCUUCAGACCUUACUACUUUUCCUUCAUAAUCUGCCCGUCCGUCCAGUAUGAUUUGCCUGCUCUGGUUGCGGUUGCGUCAUUUUCUGACCUGCUUAGAGUCUUCAACGAUAUAGUUAGGGUCAGUAAAAUAGCGGUGUACCUUCUCUGAGGGAAAGUGCAUAUGGACUUCUCCAGUUCCAAUGUAGAUGAUUGCUUUAACGGUGCUAAGGAACGGUCUUCCAAGGAUGAUGGGUGGAUCGUAUUCGUCUUCUCCCAUGUCAAUAACCUGAAAGUCUGUGUAGAGAAAAUGAUCGUCUAUUUUGACUGGGACAUCAGUUACUAUUCCUGUAACCUCUUGAAAUGUCUAAUCUGCCAUCUGGAGCUGAAUGUAUGUUGGUUUUAAGGGCAUGGUUCCGAACAAGAGCCGAUAGGUGACUGCAGCCAUUAUGUUGAUGCCCGAUCCGGUGUCGCAAGUCAUCUUGUAGAAGUUAUAUCCAUUUAUGGAGCAAUAGAUGCUUGGCAUUCCUGGGUCGUCCUUCUUGGUCAGAAACGGUGACUUAAGUUGAUGAUCUUGUCCUCCAUGAACUGCAGUGACCAUCUUAGCUGACUCGGUCCACACUUGCUUGUUCCUGUUCCUCCUGUUGGUCCUCUUCCUUGAUUCAUGUCGAGAUUGCUCUGGGAUUUGUGUAGUCUUGUUCUUGAAGGAAAACGUCUCCUUCCUCCCUUUGAUGUAGAAACUGAUCUUGGCAGCACUAGCGUAGAUGACAGCUCCCGAGGUGUUUAAGAAUGGCCUCCCUAUGAUGAUGGGUGCUCUCUCAUCAUUAACGGUCUCUAUCACCACGAAAUCUGCUGGGGCAUACAAGGUACCAACUCGGACACAAAGGUUCUUCAAUAUUCCCUUUGGGAAACUUAUUGUCUGAUCUGCAAACUGCAAACACAUGGUUGUUUCUAAUAAAGGAUAUGUAAAGAAUUUUUCAUAGAGUACCCUGAGCAUAAUGUUGACACUAGAGCCAAAGUCGCAGAGUGCUUCUGGGAAGUCCACCAUGCCGAUAGAGAUCAGGAUGACGGGGCAUCCUGGAUCGCCUCUCUUGACCGGCAGAAGGUCAGUAGUAACUUCAGUGACGGGGUUACUCCAGUAGUGGUGUCUUGUCUCAGUUUUUGUACUGUAGUGGAAUGGUCCUGGUUCCAUUUUUGUUGCUGUUCCUGGAGUCGUCCAUGUUCCGCUUGCAUAUUCUGGAUGUCGAGGAGGGUGUUGUCGGUACGGGUGAAGAAAGCGUCGGCCUCUUGGUAAUAGUCAUUCGUGAAAGCAUAAGAGGCGUCGGAGUAUCGUCCUGCAUCGAAUUGGGUGUUGAUAUUUGGGAACACAAUAAGGAAUUGAUCCGCAAGCGCACGGAUAUCGGUGAGCACUUCACCCGAGAAAUUAUCCAGAGUAUCGUAUUUAUUUUUUUACCACUAGGAGAAAGAGUGCAUCUGACUAACUGGUCUAUUACUACUAACCUUUAGGCACAAAGAAUGUCUUUCGAUGUGAGUGAUAAAUAGAGAAGACUGCAACCGUAGUCUCCUUCUAACCUUGGUAAGGAUGAUCUACUGUUCUAAUGGGGAGGCUAACGGAAUCUAGACAACACAAAGGAUGUUAGACCCGCACCUAUAAACCCUAUCCUUCCUGCUAAAGAGAUGUGAUCUACAAAGGUAGCUCGGAAUUGUCACGUUCCUCACUACUACCACGGUCCAGCUAGUCAGGGCAUAUCUAUGAGUACCCCAGCCUAAACACCACGUUUACGCCAGCAAUGAUUACUCUAAACUCUACGCGAAGAGAUUAAAGUAAACUCAUAAACCAUAAGAACAAUAAAACAAGAACUUACUAGAAUUUAGAAGUCGAAUUACUGAAGAAUCCUAGGAGCAAGCUUCGGGUUAGGAGAACUUGAUCCCGCAGGUACAAGCUUGGAGUAGACACCGACAGGCCGGGCUUCCUCCAAUCUACACCUCCACUCUAUCUCUCUCAAUCUAGUAGAAACUAGAAGAUCUAUUUCUACCUUACAUUGGUUGCUAAGCCUAAAAAGAAAUAUUAAUUAGAGAAGAGGUUUUCCUUCGAGGGCACCCCUCAGUCUCUAUGAUAAUUUCUUCAUGUCUUCUCCAGGGUCCAGGGGGGUCUCCUUAUAUAGUCCUCCCCUUCUAUGCGUUUUUGGGUCGAUAGGCGAGGUGGUACUAUGUUUUUCUUGAUCCAAUAGGUCGGUGGAAUAUCCUGAGCGAAGAGAGUCCUGAUUGGCAUCCACAGGGGGGCGGGCGCCCAGGUCACUAGGGCGGGCGCCCUGGGCCUGGCCCCUUUCGGCCUCCGUCUUCUUCCCGUGGCUUCUGGAGUCUUCUAGAUGGUGGAAAAUCACGCGGUGCGUUGAUAUCUCUAUGUAAUCCCGACAUGUGGGCCUUUCUUCCUUAUUUCCUGAUAACCCCCUGCAGAAACAGAUAAACAACAAAACUCGUAGAAUUCUGUCAGAUCAAACCCUAAUUCUAGGUGUUGGUUGCAUAUUGGUCCUUUCUCUUGUUUAUUUGAUAAUUAAAAUUGAUACUUAAGAACCGUCAACAAAUACCCCCAUACUUAGGCUUUUACUCGUCCUCGAGAAAAGGAUGGUUAAGAACAAUAUCUGAGGUAAAACAUUUUAAAGCAUUCUUUAUAUAAUUGCAGUGUUAAAAAUUCACUGUGUACCAUAGUCAGGGAAGUUUAUGGUUAAGAGUAGAGAUCCUUUCUUCUCAAUCCUGUCACUUGGAGUUUUUGUAUAUUUUUGAAAGAAAGUUAGCAUACCUUUUUAUCCUCAUAGGUUCUCUCAGAUCACUCAUUAUCUUUUGUAUAUAUCUCACUGAGGCUGUUUUAUUUUUGCAAAAAUUCUCAAGCAUACUUACUUUGCAUUUAUUGCCUGAUCAAAACGGGAUCCAAGGAGGGGAAUGUCAUACUCUUAGAUCAAAGACUUUGGAAAUUAAAAUCUUUGUCAACUCUUGCUGGCAUAUUGCUUAUUAGAGGGACCAUGGGCUAUCAUUUUUUUUUUCUCUUUUCUCUUUUCUUUUUUUUAAGUGGAUACCGAGGUACCCCUAAUUCUACUGCCGGACACUUGUCCAUUUUUCUGCGAGGUUGUCGAGCACUUGCUCCUUUUUAUUUCCUCGAAAUAUUUUUAUUUUUGCAUAGCCCAUGCCUCUAAUGCAAUAAUACUUCGGAAGAGUGAAUCUUUCUGAAAUACUGUCUUGAUCUUAGGAGCAUGAUAAAUCUCUCAACAAGGGUCUAACUCAUUUUGAACAAACUCAAUACAGAGUAGAUAGCUUUUAUAAUUAUAAUUAAUAUUUUCAGUCUUAUCAGGCAUAAAACACUGAGGAUGGUAGCUAUGAUUUUGAAUAUUUUGAAAUAAAUUCUCCAAGCAACAAUGAUAUCAAGAAUAAGAAACUCAUACUCUACCAUCACAUAUUCCAUAUUGACUUAAGUGACACAGGGUUUUAAAAUGAUUUUCAAUAAUUGUAAGUUUUCAGGAAAUAUCACAGAUUGAGAUUAAUCAUGAUUAGAAAUAUUUUAAUCUUUUUAUUUUAUCAUGUCGGAAACAAUAAUCUGCAUAAUCCAAGAUAUAUGUAUGUGUAAAGUGUGCAGAGUGUGUACCUGAAUCGUGGAGUGGUGUAGUCGGAGUGUGGUUGGCAUGUCGAGGGAUCUCCCCCAUACUUGUUUUCUGCUUUCUUGCACAAAAAAUAAAGUAGAGACACACAAGACAUAAUAGUAAUACUCUUUAUUAAUCUUGAUGCAUUUAUUACAAAAGACUAGUAGCAAACUGAUAACAAACUGAUAAUAGUAAACUGAUGAUAAUUGCAAACCUAAACCGAAUUUAAAGAUAGAUAACUAAGAUGCAUUGCCUCAAGGUCUAAUCUAGAUAACUUAGCGGCGCUCUAAUUCCUUGAUCUUCUUGUUGGCACUGGCAAGAUCCUGCUUAAGGCCUAGUAUAAUAGUGUUGUGGUUAGAGAGCUGCCUAGUGAGGGAAUUAAUCGAGGACUGGAGAUCUAUGAUAACUCUAUCUAGCCUGCGAACUUCCUCAUCAAUAUCCAUUAUAGUCUUACGACGCUUGGGAGGUGUCUCAAAAGCAUUGAGAGAGUGCUUCGGGGCUGCCUUUGGAGGGAUGAAACGGACUUUGGCUGCUCUAAUCCCUUCAAAGUAAGGCCUUUCCUCCUCCAUAGUGUAGCGAAUACUGCUAAUCUCGCCGCUCCGGUUGGUCUUGACUCCAACGACCCUCUGAUUGGGUCUAGGUGGAAGGAUCCUUGUGCCGGUUGGCACCUUGAUAGUGGUCUUCGUCUUGGAUGAUGAUCCUUUGAGGAGUAGGGGUUGUGGCGGUGCGGUGAGAACUGGUUGAGCAUGGUAAGAUUGGGCGGAGCUGCGUUGGCGUAAUGGCAUAGCUUCUAGCUGUCGCUCUGUGUUGGCCGGGACGAGAGCACGGGCAUCGGGGUCUUCCACAGGCUCUAUGUUGAGGUUGAAGGGGACGACUUCCCAAUCAUCGUGGUACUUCUCGGCCAUUGGAGCAGCAAGGAACUAAUCAAGCUCUAAUUUAAGGAGAGCUAAUCAAGCUCUAAUUGAAGGAGAGAAAGCUUGGUGGCUUGGUGUUUCAAAACUGAGGUCAGGGUCUGUUUAUAUAGGGGUCAAAAGGGUGCCUCUAUGGGUUGUUCGGGUUGCUCCUGUCGACUUGCGUGGGAAACUUUCCAUCCGAGGGAUUAUUCGAAUUACCAUAAGUGCAUUUUCCAUAACAGAGAAAAUCGGGACCGAGGGGGAACAGGAGUUGGGCGCCCGCCCUCUCUCUGGCCCCUCUAUGGGCCCACUUUCUCGAGCGCGUUUCUAGAUACGAAAUUAUUUAGAAAAAUAUAUAUAUGACCCAAAAACAUCAGACUAAAAAGGUCGGGCUCUAAUUCUCCAUGGGAAGGUAAAAGUGGACUACGUCUAUUUCUUCAAAUUCCUCAUUGGGCUCUAAAAAUAAUUUAAGAUGUUGACCAUUUACCUUGAAUAACGUACCUUCGUCAUUUUGAAGUGUGAUAGCUCCGUGGGAUGAUGAAUUAAUCACCUUGAAUGGUCCUUCCCAUUUGCUCCGGAGUUUUCCAUGCCCGAAAAGCUUCACCCUGGAAUUAAAAAGUAAUACAUUAUCUCCGGGUGUGAACUCCUUCUUCUUGAUUCUCUUGUCAUGCCACCUUUUUACUCUUUCUUUGUAGAUCUUUGAGUUGUGAUAUGCCUUCUCUCGCCAUUCUUCCAAUUCUGAUAGUUGCAUUCUUCUAUAAUCUCCAGCAACAUCUAGGUCCAUAUUCCAUCUCUUUAUGGCCCAGUGUGCUUUGAACUCUAGUUCAACAGGUAGAUGGCAAGUCUUCCCGUACACCAAUUGGUAUGGAGACAUUCCAAUUGGGGUCUUGUAUGCUGUCCGGUAUGCCCAGAGUGCAUCAGGUAACUUGUCUUUCCACGCCGUUCCCAUUUCAUUUACUGUCUUUUGAAGAAUAUUCUUAAUUUGUUUGUUGAAAGUCUCUGCUUGGCCACUUGUCUGAGGAUGAUAAGGGGUAGCGACGUUGUGACGGAUUCCAUGUCUUGAUAGAUAUUGCUUGAAGCGUUUGUCGAUGAAGUGUGCUCCUCCAUCACUUAUCACUACUCUGGGGACUCCAAAUCUUGGAAAUAUAAUUUCUUCAAACAUCCUCUUUGAACUGACGUUGUCGGCAUGCUUGCAAGGUAAUGCCUCUACCCACUUGGAGACAUAAUCAACCGCCACCAAGAUGUACUCGCACUUCUUUGAUGGGGGAAAUGGACCCAUAUAGUCUAUUCCCCAGACAUCAAAAAGCUCAAUCUGAAGGUUGUUGGUGAGUGGCAUUGCAUCCCUUGUAUUUAUGUUUCCGUGUCUUUGACAUGGCCCACAUCUUCUGAUAUAUUGCCUCGUGUCUUCAUACAUUGUAGGCCAGUAGAAUCCACACUGCCAGAUCUUUGAAUGUGUACGGAAUGCUCCAUAGUGACCUCCAUAUGGUGAUGAAUGACAUCUGUCGAUGAUCUUCCAUCCUUCCUCAGUGGUCACACAUCUCCUGAGUAAACCAUCAGAGCAUACUCGGAAGAGGUAUGGCUCAUCCCAUAUAUGUGAAGGACUUUCUUGAAUAAGCUUCUUCUUGUUUGCUCCUGGUGGUACAUACCCUGAAACCAUAAAAUUAACCAUAUCUGCAUACCAGGGGUCAGACCUGUUAAUCCCGUAGAGCAUGUCGUCCCGGAGUGAAUCAUUGAUGGGGGUUUCCUGUGGACUCUUAAAAUACAUUCUAGACAAGUGAUCAGCAACAAAAUUUUCUACUCCCUUUUUAUCUUUUAUUUCUAAGUCAAAUUCUUGGAGUAAUAAGAUCCAUCUAAUCAGGCGAGGUUUAGCAUCUUUUUUAGUGAGCAAAUAUUUUAGUGCAGCAUGAUCAGUGUAAACAAUUAUUUUAGCUCCAACUAAAUAAGAUCUAAAUUUAUCAAUGGCAAAGACAACAGCCAGAAGCUCUUUUUCAGUGGUUGCAUAGUUAAGCCUGUCAAAGUUUUACUGGCAUAAGCAAUUGCAUGAUGCUUUUUAUUUUUAGUUUGUCCCAAUACUGCCCCCACAGCAUAAUCACUAGCAUCACACAUAAUUUCAAAAGGCAACGACCAAUCAGGGGGUUGAAUAAUUGGUGCAGAGAUGAGUGCUUUCUUUAAUAAAUUGAAAGAUGUUAAACAUGCAUCAUCAAAUUCGAAAGGAGCAUCCUUAGCUAGCAAAAGAGUAAGUGGUCUAGCAAUAAAUAAAAAAUCUUUUAUGAAUCUACGAUAAAAACCAGCAUGGCCAAGAAAGCUUCGAAUUUCUUUUAUGUUCACAGGUGGAGGUAGUUGUUCAAUUACUUCAAUUUUAGCUUUGUCUACCUCAAUACCUCUUUCAGACACUAGGUGUCCCAGCACUAUUCCUUCCCUAACCAUAAAAUGACAUUUUUCCCAAUUAAGGAUUAAGUGCUUUUCUUCACAUCUUUGCAAAACCUUGUCUAAGUUUUCAAGACAACUGUCAAAAGUUUUUCCAUAAACAGAGAAGUCAUCCAUGAAAACUUCCAUAAUCUCUUCAAUCAUAUCAGAAAAUAUAGACAUCAUGCAUCUUUGAAAAGAAGCUGGUGCAUUACAUAACCCAAAAGACAUUCUACGAUAAGCAUAAGUUCCAUACGGGCAUGUAAAAGUGGUUUUGCUUUGAUCAUCGGGAUGGAUCGGGAUCUGAUGAUACCCUGAAUAUCCAUCUAAGAAACAAAAGAACGAAUGUUUCGCUAAUCGCUCUAGCAUUUCAUCUAUAAAAGGUAAAGGAAAGUGAUCCUUUCUCGUGGCUUUGUUUAGUUUUCUAUAGUCUAUGCACAUCCGCCAUCCUGUGACGGUGCGUUGCGGAAUUAGCUCGUUCUUUUCAUUCAUAAUAACAGUCAUGCCUCCCUUUUUAGGCACAACUUGUACUGGGCUCACCCACUCACUGUGCGGCACAGGAUAUAUAAUCCCUGCAUGCAGCAGCUUUAUAACUUCCUUUUUAACUACCUCUCUCAUAGUGUUGUUAAGUCUACGUUGGGGUUCUCGAGAGGGUGAAACAGAAGGAUCUGUUGGAAUACGAUGGGUACAAAUCAUAGGACUGAUUCCUGUAAGAUCUUGGAGUGAGUAGCCGAACACUGAGUGAUGUUUCUCAAGAAUGGUCAUUAAUCAUAGAGUUUGAUCCUGAGUGAGUUUAUCGCUAAUGAUCACAGGGAACUCUGGAUUAUUGUUUAGGAAAGCAUAGGUAAGACCGGGUGGUAAAGUUUUAAGCUCUAUGGGGGGUCUAGGUGUUUCUGCAAACUCAUCUAAGGGUUCAGGCUCAGAAGGUUCGUCUUCUUCUUCUGUGAAGAAAGGAGUUUCGUCUUCUAAGUCUGGUUCAUCAAAAAGCUCUAGAGAUGCAGCCUUUACUUCCUCCAUAGGAUCAGGCAAAAGAUAUGACUCGGCCUUAUUGUUUAAGGAGUGUGAAAUUAUUAUUGGGAAUUUAAAGGUUUUUCCAAAAGAAAUGUGUAGCUUUCCAGUAUGGCCUUCAUAAAGGAGUCUUCUAAAAGGUUGUCCUAUUAACAGGUCGAAGUCCCAUGUAUCAAAGAUAUAGAAGUUCAAAUGAACCAUGGAGCCUUCUACCGUAAGAGGUAGGACAUUAAUAAUUCCAAGACUGGGGACUAAUCGUCCCGAAGAUUCCUUUAUGACCUUUGUUGUGGGGGUUAAGACAAGAUUUUUAAAUAGUUUAAGUGCAAAAGAUUCAGACAUGAUGUUGAUCCCCACAACAGGAUUAUAGAGAGCAUUAAAUCGAUCAGAAUUAUAAGCACAGCGUAUAGUUAUAGAGGGUGUGUCCAAACGGAUCACAUCAGAGGAAAGCUCUGAUUCCUCCAACCAUUCGCUACUCAUUACUGAGAUAAGCUCUCUCAAUUGAUAUUCACUUGGCAAAUAAAUGCUAAAUUGGCCUUUUUGGGGUUUGUCAAUAGAAUGGUAGUUUGAAAUAUUUCCAAAAUCGGCAAAAAGAUCGGAUUCUAUAUCCAGCAUGAAGUCCGGUGGUGGAAUUUCUUCCUCUUGUGGCUCAGAACUUGGGAUAGCUAAAGUAGGUGAAGAAUUUGGCAGAGUGUCUACUUCGGCUUCGUAGGUUUCAUCAUGAAGGGUAUUAUCCAUCUCAGCUUCUAAGAUUCUAUCUAGGAUCACUCUAGCUUCAUCAGCAGGGAUGCGAAAGAAAGAACCUCUAGACAUUGUGUGUAGCAUUUGUUUGUGAUUUUUAUGAAGAACUCGAAAAAAGUGAAAUAAAAGAACAGGGUCUUCAAGAUUAAGGUUUGGACCAAAUUCUAAAAGAUCAGAAAAACGUUUCCAGGAUUUCCCCAAAGUUUCAUUAUCUUUUUGUUUAAAAGAUAGGACUUCGAGUCUAAGGUCGGCUAUACGGUCAAGGGAAUAGAAAUCUAGACAAAAGUUGGCUCGUAAAACUCCCCAUUCACCUUGUUGUUGACUUACCUUCUGACUGUACCAUUGUCUAGCUUCUCCCCUUAAAGAAAAAGGAAAAAGCUUCCAACAUAAAGUUUUAUCAGAAAUGCCUUCAAUGCGAAGGCAAUCACAUGUUUGCUCAAAAUCUCUAAUAUGAAGGUAAGGGUUUUCGUCUUCCUUUCCUGAAAAAGAUAGGUUUUGAAUCAUGGCAAUCAACCUAGAACUUAACUUAUACUGGGAUGUUUGGAUAGGCUGUGAUGACUCCCAUGGUAAAAGGUCAGUUGCUAAAGGGAUUGCAGAUUCAUGGAUCGAUUUAGAAUUUUGGUUUUCCAUAAGGUAAGAGUAAAGAAAAUAAAGAAUAUAAAAGAUAAGAAAAGAUAAAAGUAUAGAUACAAGCUAGUAGCAAGACUCAGGUUAUCUCAGCAACCGUCUUUCUCCCCGGCAACGGCGCCAGAAAUGCUUGUUGAUAUUUGGGAACGCAAUAAGGAAUUGAUCCGCAAGCGCACGGAUAUCAGUGAGCACUUCACCUGGGAAAUUAUCCAGAGUAUCAUAUUUAUUUUUUUACCACUAGGAGAAAGAGUGCAUCUGACUAACCGGUCUAUUACUACUAACCUUUAGGCACAAAGAAUGUCAUUCGAUGUGAGUGAUAAAUAGAGAAGACUGCAACUGUAGUCUCCUUCUAACCUUGGUAAGGAUGAUCUACUGUUCUAAUGGGGAGGCUAACGGAAUCUAGACAACACAAAGGAUGUUCGACCCGCACCUAUAAACCCUAUCCUUCCUGCUAACGAGAUGUGAUCUACAAAGGUAGCUCGGAAUUGUCACGUUCCUCACUACUACCACGGUCCAGCUAGUCAGGGAAUAUCUAUGAGUACCCCAGCCUAAACACCACGUUUACGCCAGCAAUGAUUACUCUAAACUCUACGCGAAGAGAUUAAAGUAAACUCAUAAACCAUAAGAACAAUAAAACAAGAACUUACUAGAAUUUAGAAGUCGAAUUACUGAAGAAUCCUAGGAGCAAGCUUCGGGUUAGGAGAACUUGAUCCCGCAGGUACAAGCUUGGAGUAGACACCGACAGGCCGGGCUUCCUCCAAUCUACACCUCUACUCUAUCUCUCUCAAUCUAGUAGAAACUAGAAGAUCUAUUUCUACCUUACAUUGGUUGCUAAGCCUAAAAAGAAAUAUUAAUUAGAUAAGAGGUUUUCCUUCGAGGGCACCCCUCAGUCUCUAUGAUAAUUUCUUCAUGUCUUCUCCAGGGGCCAGGGGGGUCUCCUUAUAUAGUCCUCCCCUUCUAUGCGUUUUUGGGUCGAUAGGCGAGGUGGUACUAUGUUUUUCUUGAUCCAAUAGGUCGAUGGAAUAUCCCGAGCGAAGAGAGUCCUGAUUGGCAUCUAGAGGGGGGCGGGCGCCCAGGUCACCAGGGCGGGCGCCCUGGGCCUGGCCCCUUUCGGCCUCCGUCUUCUUCCCGUGGCUUCUGGAGUCUUCUAGAUGGUGGAAAAUCACGCGGUGCGUUGAUAUCUCUAUGUAAUCCCGACAUGUGGGCCUUUCUUCCUUAUUUCCUGAUAACCCCCUGCAGAAACAGAUAAACAACAAAACUCGUGGAAUUCUGUCAGAUCAAACCCUAAUUCUAGGUGUUGGUUGCAUAUUGGUCCUUUCUCUUGUUUAUUUGAUAAUUAAAAUUGAUACUUAAGAACCGUCAACAUUGGGGCGGAGGUCUGGACCCUGAAGCUCCAUAUGGAUCAGUGGAGUACCUGCCCGUACUGAAAGGCGGGUUUGUCCACUGGUGAUCUUGACUCUCUGGCCAUUUCUCCUAUGUUGGCUCUUGUGGUUGAGCAUGUCGAACCCAUGGGUCCCGAAGGACUCGGUGGUUGUAGUCACAGUAAUGCAGGUGCGCUGCUUCUUCCGGCCCGGGAUCAGCUCCAUACCAGGUGCAUCCUCGAUGGGUGGUCAUCCUUUCAGAUGCCACUCUUUGUGGAGCUCUCUGGUUUACCGGUGUCACUGCAAUCUCAAUCAAGUAAUUUUGAACAACAUAGAGGCCAAGGUUCGGGUUAGGUAACCGAAUAUUGCCUUUAUUAUCGUAUAACAUAUACAUUAUGGCCCCCUCUUUUUUCAACAUCCGAGCUUGUCUAAAUGUGUCAUAGCCAUGAUAAAUGCGUAACUCAUCUAUGAAUUCCAAUGAUGAGUUUUCUAGUAAAUGAAGACUAGAGGCUAGACGAGUGAUUAGUGAAGUACAUCCGACUGGUCCCUGAAGGCUAGGUAUACUAAGCCAAUGAGAAACCAAAAGUGUAACAGGUGAAGUGGGUACUUUAUUUAUAGCAGCAUAUAGAAGUUGUAAAUCUCCUACUCUUACUUUUCUAAUAUCAUCACGAUGGAAAAGAUUGUACCCAAGCCAUUUGUGGAACAUCCUAAGAGUGGGGUCUUCCAUGUCACUGGUUCGGGCUUGACUAUAAAACUCAUCUCUAGAUAUCUCUCUCCAGAAUUGGUGUCUCUCAAAAUUGGGUAAGUCAGAAUCAAUGUUCAAGAUGCAUCUUGAAGAGAAACCGAGAUGGUCGCUCAAUUCUCUCCAAGACAACAUAAUGUCCUGUUUGAACAUCCGAAAAACAAUUCCCCCCUCAUAAUAUUGUAAAGUGCAAAGAAAUUCAAGGGUGAGAAGACGGGAACCCAGCUCAGUUAUGUUCCAAAAAUUUGUCCAUCCCACCAUCUGGAAAAUUAAAUUGAAUUCAGUAUCCAUACCUGUUUCUUGUAGCAAGAUUGGAUUGAGAGUGGGGGUGUGAAUGAAAUAUUUGUUUUUUAGCUGCUGGUAAACUUCCUUUUCCCUGCGGGUCUUUAGUCCAAGGUCUCAUAUCUUGAGGAGGACAUUGACUUGCUGAUCAGAUGAAGAUGACAGAGCUUGCGGAGGUGUUGGGUCGACGCUCAUCUCUGAGGAAUGUCGGGAUGAACUCCUUAUACAUAUGUUCUUGAGGACCUUCCCUGCGUUCUUCACCUUCUUGAACAUUCUGUAGACAAAAGUUGACACACAAACAACUAGUGGAAAAUGUGAGAGAAAAUGUUAGUGGUCAGCUGUCCGAAAUGUCAGUAGUCCAGUGGUUAGUCGUUCAAGACAAGUUUUUAUUUUGGCAGCACCUCCCCCUAAACAACUUUUACUUCCGCUCUAGACAGCGGGAUCACUACUUACUAGGUGAAUCUCACUCUCUCACUCAGAGACUACCAACCUCUCUUCCACUCUUCUCUUCCUCUCUACUCUCUUCUUACUUCACUACAAGAGCUCCUUCUCUGAAAACUGAAACUUGCGUGGUUUUCUGGAAUGCUUGUGUGAAGAAGUUGGAGGCAGGAAGUGGCAAUUUAUAAUAGGAAAGGGGGACAGGGCGGGCGCCCUCUGUAGGUGGGCGGGCGGCCACCUUUGGUGGCCAUCCUGGCUGCCUUUUCUCGACUCCCUCCUUUGCUUGGCUCUUACGCAGAAUAAUAGUUCAUGGGUGGUGGUUGGUCGGUGGAAAAGUGCUGGUGAGUGGAGUUAUGUUUGUGGAUCAAAUAAUGUGAUGGGAUGUGUGUGAGGUGUGGUGUAUGACAUGUGGGACCCAAGGAGUGUGGGUCAUGCUUCUAGAAGGUUGCUAUAAUUAAAUAUAAUGCAGGAAAAUCUAUGAGAAUUGAAACUUAUUUGAAAUGAUAAUGGAAAAUAUUUUUGUGCCUCCACAAUAAUUAAUAAAUAUGGGUUGUUACACACCACAAAUAUUAUUUAUAUGGGGUUUUUCAUUAUAAUGCUAUGACUAAUGUAAGAAUUAAUUAUGCAAGAAUUUAAACAAUGUGGAUAAAUACCGACUUACCUCCCGGCGAGGGUUUGGGAUUUUUAGGUCCCCCAAGCUGGACCUCCAAAUCUUUUAAUCUUCUGAAUUACCUUCCUCCGCAGAUGGUGUCUCCAGUGGUUCUUCUUCAUGAACUUCCUUCACUGUAGAGUCUCUCUCUGGUCUGGGCUUGAAUGUGAAGUGUUCUUCUUUUCCGUUUAUGUUGAACUUGAUUUCUCUCUUCCCGACAUCAAUGUGGGCAUUGGCAGUGCUCAGAAAUGGCCUUCCAAGGAUAAUGGACACUUUUGAGUCAGGGCUCAUAUCCAGUACCACGAAGUCUACUGGCUGAAGCGCCCUUGGUAAACCAGGAACUCAAAUGUAAUACAAUACUAGUCCCAGGAGGCUAGUAACACAUUUAUUACAUCAGAUAAUUUCAGCGCAGUAGUCUCGGAAAGCGUGGACAAGGAAGGCACGCUAUAAUAAUAAGACACCAAAAUACAACAUAGGUCCAAAGGACCCAGAAACAAACGAUAUCGCCAUCGAACAUCUGACGAGUCCCAAUGCCACAGGCUUAGUUGGGUGCAGACACGACCUUACUCGAACGCCACUUCGGGAUCGAAGUCCGGAUCUUCCUCUGUUUAAUAAAGCAAGGGUGAGUACAAAGUACUCAGCAAAUCCAACCUUACCCUGCGGAAGGGGAUAACAAUAUAUAUGCAUAUGGAUAAAUCAAGGAUGAGGCUUAGUUUUAUUUGCAUAAAGCUAUUUUUUUACACAUGUAAGGUUUCAUUUCACAAAUACUGUUGCAAAAGACCACUUUUUCCACAUAUGAUAGUAUUUCUGAAAAUGGGGGUUUGAUCACAAUUUUAAGUGUUGUUGAACCCUUGUUCCCACAACACAAUGGCAGUCAACCAUUUAUUUCCAAAAUCACACUCACUCUCAUGUUUUCACUCAUCCCAACCCAUCUAGUUGUUGAAACCAAACCAUAACCCGUCCGAGACCGCGGACACGGCUAUCCAGAUACAUUUACACUCUGCAGAGGUUGUACACUUUUCCCACAAGUAGGAUACCAUAACUUACACCGUCAUGCAAGCACAGAUCCAUCAAAGUCAUUACCCUCCAUAGCUAAGUAAUGACGCUCACCACGGGAACACUAAGGCCACAUCUCAUGAUACCACAAUAAUUCACAAAGCUCUUUUCAUAUAUUUCUACAAUUUCACAUACAUCACUUAGUGCCCCGUUGCACACCUGCCUUCAGGUGAUUGCCAUACUAACUAGAGGGAUUUAGACUAAGCCUUUCCCAUGCAAGGCGAGUGGUUGUACGAUAAAUGAGUUAGGCAAGAUGAAUCAUCAACUCAGUCCUUAAUCGAGACAAGGCGGAUAUCUUCACGCUUAACCCCGCAAGGUAUAAGCCACAACACCAGGACAACACCAGGGCAUCUCCAAAAGAGAUCCCAUCCGCCCCAUCUCCAUAGUAAUCACAUCUAUAACUUGUUCAUUAACCCUUUCACAAUACCCACAAUUUAUUUUCACCACUCACACCUUUUUCUUUUAAAAUCAUUAUAUUUGAGAAAAAUAUAGCGAUGAGUAUCCACGAUGAGUAACAAGUCCUAAGCAUACUAAAUAAAAAUAUUUCUGUCAUAGCAUAUUAUUUGUUCUUAGGUUUGAACAAGACAAUUAUCGCGUAAUAUCAAUUCAAGGAUGGCUGUUCAACAGGUUUUAACUAAGCAGCGAAAAUACUUCGUACAUAUAUUGUACAUGCAAUAUUUAAAACGGCUUCUACGGGUUGUGUUUAAAAAUAGGAUCAAUAUGCAUCAAAGGGGAUCAGUUGGACUUGCCUCCGUCGGCGUCAUCGGCAAACUCUUGCUGACAGUCCGGGUCCUCGGCGUCAAACUCGCGGUACUCGUUUCCAACGUUCUCGUUUUCCGGCUCGUUCACUCCGUCAACUAAAAUACGCGACGAACGAUACAGACAACAGGCACAGAUAAAUAAUCAUAUAAAUUCAAAUGAGCUCUAAAAAUCAUGAAAUUAAUAUGGGAGGUAGAUCAUGAUUUUAGAUGAAUUUAGGAAAAAGAAUUAUUAAAAUCAGAGUUAGCAUAUGGUAUUUGUGAAAUGGCCAGAAUUUAAUCAUGCGAAAAAGGCUAACGGUGAUUAAGAAAUGGAUGCUUCACGUGGGCAUUUGCUUGGCUGGUAGUGCAUGCAUGCAUGCAUGUACUAUUUGGUGGAGUUAAUGUUUAUGGCCCACACAUGUAUGGUUAGAGAGAAAUUAGCAGGGGUCAUUAGAGCUCUUCUGUAUGUCAUGGUUCUAUUCGUGGAGUUCUUGGUAGUGAAUCGGUACAGACAAAUACAAGGAAAAACACAGAAAAAUACUAUAGAAAGACAGAGAAGAGCAAGGAGAUGCUCAUGAGCUGCUCACCUCGUCUUGUGACGACAGUCGAGCUCGGCUUGUGCGUAUGGCCGUAUACGGUAUACGCGAAGUGAGAGCGAGUGAGCAAGUGAGUGAACGUGUUUCUCGGGUGGUGAGAGUGAGCACCCGAGGCUAGAUUUUUAUAGGCCAGAGGAGUGAGGUUAUGCCUCUGGUGCUCUGCUUCGUGCCAUUAGAAUUACUACUGUAGUGCAUGGUUACACAGGACGACAGGACGGUGGACGGUGCCUAAUUUUCAUGCAAAUGGCAAUGUCUCAUUUGCAUGCACGGUGCGUGCAAAUGGACGGUGCCUAAUCACCAUGUCCUUGCAUGCAGGUGCAUGCAAAUGGACGGUGCAUGCUCGUCCUGCAUGCAUGCAUGCAUGAGAUAUAUUCAUGUGUGUGCACUGCUAUGUUUUCUUGCAUGUAAGCUUGCUGGUACUUGCUAUUAUUUGUGCGCGAAAAAUAUGGAUAGAUUAGAUGGAGAUACUAUAGAGCUCAAAUUAUUUUAUAGUUUUUGAAAUAUAUUUUGAAAAUAAUUUCUUAAUGCGAGUGAUUUUUGAGUGUGAAUUUUUGGGAUGUUAGAAACCUACCCCACUUAAAAGGAAUCUCGUCCUCGAGAUUCGGCUGGGUUCUAAACUUACCAAACUUCCCAUCCGAUUGCAGUCCUCUCUUUCUUCUCGGAAAUGGCAAAUAGUUGGUGUCGUAAAAAUCUUUCCUCAUUUCUCCAGUUCUUGGUGGUUGUAGCAGAUUUCUGCUUCAACUGGGUUUUCUUCUUCUAUCACUCCUGGUUGCACUGGUGCUGAUGUUCUCUGUUUCUCUUUUGGGUAUGGGGAUCCCUGGUGGCUUUGCCUCCUCUAGUAGUUAUGUUCUUUACCUGCUCAAUGUUAGUGGCAACAGGCAAUGCAGCAGCUAGCUUUAUUAAUUUAAGCUCUACCCUUUUAUUAAGAGUGUUUUGGUCAUCAAAGGUAGUUAAUAGAAAAUCCAUUUUAUUGUGUAUAUCUUUUAGAGAUGAUUCAUUUGUAUCUAGCCUUUGUUUAACUUCAUCAUUAGUUUUGGUUUGUUGAACAAUUAUCUCUUUUAAUGAAAGUUGCUUAAAAGUAUUACCUGAAUUCAUACCUUUGCUAUUGGGUUGACUCGAGGUAGGUUGAUAUUUGUAUGCUGUCUCAAUAGCCCUGUGAUCUUCUUUGAACUUGGCCCUCUGGUCAAUCCAAUGAAGCAAAUUUUUCAUCUUGGUUGAUAAUGCAUUUACUUCUUCUGGUAUUUCUUCAGUUUGAUGACAUUAUUGAGCUUUAUCUUGGAACCAGCUUUGGUUUUCUGCUAUCUUAUCCAAAAGUAUAUCUGCUUUUCAAAUUGUAAGCUACAAGAAUGAUCCUUUAGCAGAUGCAUCUAGGCACUCACGAGCCUUCCAUGGUGAGGGCAAUCUGAUAUGUAUCCUUGAAAACGCUCCCAUGCUUCUGAAAUGGUUUCUGUCUUCUGCUGUUGGAAACUGACAAUAUUUCCUCUUAAGGCAGCUGUCUUGCCCAUUGGGAAAAACUUUGGUAGAAAGGCAUCUGACAAGUUCGUCCAGUUGUUGAUGUUAUCUUGAUGAAUGUAGAACCACUUCCUUGCUUUCCCUUCUAGUGAGAAUGGAAAAAGGCGAAGCAGUAUGACGUCUUUGUCGACUCCGUUGAUGUGGAUUGUGCUUCCAAUCUCUAAGAAAUUCUGCAAGUGUGCACUAGAAUCUUCAUGUGCCUUUAAACUGGAUUGUGUAGCUUGUACCAAAUUGAUGAGGCUUGACUUGAGCUCGAACUCGGGUGCUCCUUCUUCUACUGCAAAUCUUAGACCAGUUGGAAUGUUCUCAAGGCUUGGAGCAGAGAAUUCUCGUAGGGUCUUCUGUGCCAUAGCUUCAGAAAUUGGUAGCUAGCUUCUUCUUUCUUUCUUGUUUGCUUUGGUUUUGAUGAUGAAGAGUUGAAUGUACCCAAAGUCAAUCCUGAUAUACCCUGUAUAAAAAUAUAAACAUAGAAAAACAACAAGGUGAACCUGCCAAAGCAGAGGUGCCUUGUUAUGAUUUCUCACUUAGUAGCUGUUUUAUGCAAUUAUUUCUCUAUAGUCUAGUCUAAUAUUUUAUGUGAAUAACCUUGACUGAUUUCCUGACUUUCCUUACCGUUCCUAUGUGUUUCCCUUUUGUUCCCUGGCAACGGCGCCAGAACUGCUUGUUGACACUUACUAACACCACUUAGAUACUAGGUUGUCAUCCCCAGCAUAGUGUCAGAGUGUACAAAGGUAUUUAUAAAUAUGGAGGCUCUCUAGAAAAUAAUCUAUUCUAUCCGCAAACGCACAGAUAAAACACCUCAUUGUAGCAUUUCACUAGGUAAGUAUUCUAGGUAUCGUUAUUUAUAGUUUUGCUCAGGAGAAAAAGGAUUAAAUGAAGAUAAAGAUAAAAUCUAUCAAGGCAUAGACUAGAGAUAAACUUGCAAGAACAUGAUUACUAAUGUGGAACUCGUCACACAGUCACUUACUUUGGUAGGGGGGUAAGCCAUAAUAACAAUGAUAAUGAAAUAUAAGCUCAUGGGUAAAUAUCACAGCGAUUAGAAAAUAGACUACUCCUCAUAUAUGCAAGGUGACGUCGGAUUAGCUAGAGAAUGGAUUCUAAGUUAUCUACUAUCUACUAAGUCACAAUCUACUCUAGUUAUCUACAAGAUCAUAUAUAGCAUAAAAGACUCUUCAUUCAUGUAUAAGGAAUAUUGCUAAAGUAAAUCAGAGCAUCGCAAGACUUACUCCGCAAUACAAAUUCUGCCUGUCCUAUCAACGGAGGGUGGACUAUAUAAGAAUCAACGAAGCUGUCACUAUCGCGAACUACCACACAACCCGGCCAAUAUGAUACAUUUGCAGGUAAAUAACAUCUAAGCACCACGCCCACAUAUGAUCUACCACUUAACUGCCAUGUGUCAAGAGCUAAGCGCUUUGCAAACUUAUACAUAAACUCAUUAUCAAUCAUAUCUAUAUCAAAUAUAGAAUAGAGCAAACUAAGAGCAUAAUAAAUAGAGACAUAAUGCAAUUAGAACAAAGUAGUAGAGAAAGAUAUGAAAUAAUACCAAUCUUUAUUGAUGAAGAUCCGAAUCCAGAGCACUAGGCUCUACUUCUCUAAUUCCUAUCUAAUCAAUCCUCUAAACUUGAAGGAUUAGGGAGUAGCUAAUUCUAAUUCUCUGUGGGAGAGAAGUCCUAAAACCCUAACUUUGAUGGCUACCUCUCAUAAUGAUUUCUCCUCUCUCCCCCUGGGGUGGAGAGGCCUUGAUUAUAUAGUCCUUUCAAGUGAAUUUGGGCCGUCGGAUCAAAUCGACAUUGAUCGCACAGUUUUCCUUGAUCCUUUAGGUCGGUGGAGCAUAAUCCAGGAGAUUGGUUCUGAUUGGCCCCGAGGCCAGGGCGGGCGCCCAAGGGGGGAGGGCGGGCGCCCUGCCCCCGAGCCUGUUGUUGACGGUCCUUAAGUAUCAAAUUCAAUUAUCAAAUAAAUAAAGAAAAGGAUCCAAAUGAAAUCAACAUCUAGACUUAGAGUUUUAUCUAACAGAAUUCCACGAGUUUUGGUGUUUGUAUAUUUCUGCAGGGGGUUAUCAGGAAAUACGGAAGAAAGGCCCACACGUCGGGAUUACAUAGAGAUAUUAACGUGCCGCGCAAUUAUCUUACUUCUAGAGGACUCCAGAAGCCACGGGAAGAAAGCGGAGGCCGAACGGGGCCAGAGGCAGGGCGCCCGCCCUCCUUCCCUGGGCGCCUGCCCUGACUUGGAGUCCAAUCAGGACUCUGUUUCGUGGGAGAUCUCCACCGACCUAAAGGAUCAUGGAUAACCGUUCAAUCAAUGUCGGUUUGAUCCAACAGCCCAUAUUCACUUGAAGGGACUAUAAAACCAGACCCCCUGGCCCCUGGAGGAGAGAGCCUCUCAACCCUAAUUCAUUGUUCUUCAAGGGAGAAGAAGCCUCUGAUCAAGAUUAGAGCCACCACAUCAAUUAGACAUCUAGAUUAGCAUAGCUACAUAGGAUUAGAACUAGAAGGAGUCAAUCUUCGAUUGGUUUCUGGAUCUGUCAAGAGGAUUCUUGGUAAUUCUCUAAUUGUGCUUCUAAUUAUUCUUCUAAUUAUCUUUGUUCUUCAAUAUUAUGAAUAUGACUUUGUUCUACUUCAAUAUAUUGCUUAUGACUUUGCUCUACUUGUUUAUAUUCAAGAUUAUAUUGUUCUUUGUUUAUCAUAGUUAUGUACUUGGCUUAGUUAGAUUGGAUCUAUAUACAUGUUUAGGAUCGUAUAGCGUUUAUCCAUCGGAUCCAUGGGUAAAUGAUAGAUAUUGUGUAGGCGUGGUGCUUAUAUCGUAUUUAUCUGCGAUUGUACCCAAUAUGCCGGAUCGUGGGGUAGUUCGUGAUAGUGACAGCUUCAUUGAUUCUUAUAUAGUCCCCCUCUCGUGUAUUGGGCUGGCAGAGCAAUAUUAUUACAGGGGAGUGAUUGCUAUGUUUCUCAUUUACCUUGCUAAUAUCACUAUGCAUGGGCGUAGUCUUGUCUCACAAUGAUUGCUAAGUAUGCUUGCACUAAUUAUGAUAAUGCUAGACUAUAUAGUUGAGAAUAACUUAGGAAAUAUUCUUGUAGUUCGUUCUAAUUCUAUGCUAAUGACUUUCUAGAGUAUCUAAUUGAGGUGCUUAUCAUAUUUAUAUGUGGCUAAGUUAUGCUGGUCAGAUUAAUUAUCUUUGUCACUAUUCAUUACUUCAUAUAUCUUUUACGUGACACUUAUCCCUGUAUGAAAGAGUUAGAUAAAUGUUCUCAAUUAUACAUGCAAUGAUAGAUACUCAAUCUCAUAUUCUAUUCUAUAAUCAAUAUUGAUGAUUGUUAAUCCCUUCCCAGUGGUAAAAAUAUAAAUAACGAUACCUGGAAUACUUCCCGGUUAAAAUGCUGCAUCGGUAUUAAUCUGUGCGCUUGCAGAUCCCAUUCAUUAUUUAUUUAGAAGAGCAAUUGCAUAUUUUAAUACCGCGUCUCUCAUGUCAUGCUGGGGAUGACAACUUGGCUUAAGUGGUAUGAGGGAUAGGUUUGGCAUUUUUGGCACCGUUACUAGAAUUAGAAAAGUGUCUACUUUUGGUAAUGAUGUUAAGAAUACCCAACACCCGUCCGGUCUCCCAUUCGUUCCCGUGGCUUCUGGACUCUUCUAGAUUAAGGAAAAUUGUGCGGCAAGUAAUUAUCUUGUUGUAAACAUGACAUGUGGGCCUUUUCUCCAUAUUUUCUGAUAACCCCCUGCAGAAAUAGAUAAACACCAAAGCUCGUGGAAUUCUGUCAGAUAAAACCCUAAUUCUAGAUAUUUGGUGCAUAUUGAUCCUUUUCGAUGUUUAGUUGAUGGUUAAAUUUAGUACUUAAGGACCGUCAACAUACAGGAGCUCAACUUAAUUAUGUAACCACUGAAAAAGAGCUUCUGGCUGUUGUCUUUGCCAUUGAUAAAUUUAGAUCGUAUUUAGUUGGAGCUAAAAUAAUUGUUUACACUGAUCAUGCUGCACUAAAAUAUUUGCUUACUAAAAAAGAUGCUAAACCUCGCUUGAUUAGAUGGAUCUUAUUACUCCAAGAAUUUGACUUAGAAAUAAAAGAUAAAAAGGGAGUAGAAAAUUCUAUUGCUGAUCACUUGUCUAGAAUGUAUUUUAAGAAUCCACAGGAAACCCCCAUUAAUGAUACACUCCGGGACGACAUGCUCUACGGGAUUAACAGGUCUGAGCCCUGGUAUGCAGAUAUUGUUAAUUUUAUGGUUUUAGGGUAUGUACCACCAGGAGCAAACAAGAAGAAGCUUAUUCAAGAAAGUCGUUCACAUAUAUGGGAUGAGCCAUACCUCUUCCGAGUAUGCUCUGAUGGCUUACUCAGGAGAUGUGUGACCACCGAGGAAGGAUGGAAGAUCAUCGACAGGUGUCAUUCAUCACCAUAUGGAGGUCAUUGUGGAGCAUUCCGUACACAUUGAAAGAUCUGGCAGUGUGGAUUCUACUGGCCUACAAUGUAUAAAGCACAAAGCAAUAUAUCAGAAGAUGUGGGCCAUGUCAAAGGCACAUAAACAUAAACACAAGAGAUGCCAUGCCACUCACCAACAACCUUCAAAUUGAGCUCUUUGAUGUCUGGGGAAUAGAUUACAUGGGUCCAUUUCCCCCAUCAAAGAAGUGUGAGUUCAUCUUGGUGCCAGUUGACUACGUCUCCAAGUGGGUAGAGGCAUUACCUUGCAAGCACGCCGACAACAUCAGUUCAAAGAGGAUGUUUGAAGAAGUUAUAUUUCCAAGAUUUGGAGUCCCCAGAGUAGUGAUAAGUGAUGGAGGAGCACACUUCAUCGACAAACGCUUCAAGCAAUAUCUAUCAAAACAUGGAAUCCGUCACAACGUCGCUACCCCCUACCAUCCUCAGACAAGUGGCCAAGCAGAGACUUCCAAUAAGCAAAUCAAGAAUAUUCUUCAGAAGACAGUCAAUGAAAUGGGAAUGGCAUGGAAAGACAAGUUACCCAAUGCACUCUGGGCAUACCGGACAACAUACAAGACCCCAAUUGGAAUGUCUCCAUACCUAUUGGUGUACGGGAAGACUUGCCACCUACCUGUUGAAUUAGAAUUCAAAGCACACUAGGCCAUAAGGAGAUGGAAUAUGGACCUAGAUGUCGCUAGAGAUCAUAGAAGAAUGCAACUAUCAGAAUUGGAAGAAUGGCGAGAGAAAGCAUAUCACAAUUCGAAGAUCUACAAAGAAAGAGUCAAAAGGUGGCAUGACAAGAGGAUCAAGAAGAAGGAGGUCGCACUCGGAGAUAAGGUAUUACUUUUUAAUUCCAGGGUGAAGCUUUUCGGGCAUGGAAAACUCCAAAGUAAAUGGGAAGGACUAUUCAAGGUAAUCAAUUCAUCAUCCCAUGGAGCUAUCACACUUCAAAAUGACGAAGGUACAUUAUUCAAGGUAAAUGGUCAACGUCUUAAAUUAUUUUUAGAGCCCAAUAAAGAAUUAGAAGAGAUAGACGUGAUCCAUUUUUACCUUCCCAUGGAGAUUUAGAGCCCGAACUUUUUAAUCUGACAUUUUUGGGUCACACAUAUAUUUUCCUAAUAAGUUUUGCAUCUAGAAGCACGCUCGAGGAAGCGGGCCCACAGAGGGGCCAGGCACAGGGCGGGCGCCCUCAUGAAGAGGGCGGGCGCCGAGCCCCUGACCCCUCUCAGUCCUGAUUUCCUCUGUCACGGUAAACACAUUUAUGGUAAAUGAAAUAAUCAUACAGAUGGAAAGUUUCGCACGCACGGUGGCGGGAGUAGCUCGAGCAAACCCUAGAGGCACUUUUUGACCCCUAUAUAAACAGACCCCUGACGUUAGUUUUCAAACACAAAUCUAUUCAAGCCUUCUCUCCUUCUUCAAUUAGAGCUUGCUUAGUCCCUCGCCGCUCCAAUGGCCGAAGAGUUCCAUGACGAUUGGAAAGUCGUCCCCUACGACCUCAACAAGAAGCCCAAGGAAGACCCCGACGCCCACGCUCUCGUCCCGGCCAACACAGAGCGACAGCUAGAAGCCAUGCCAUUACGCCAGCACAGCUCCACCCAAUCCUACCAUGCUCAACCAGUUCUCACCGCACCGCCACAACCCCUACUUCUCAAGGGACCGUCAGCCAAGAAGGAGGCCACCAUCAAGGUGCCAGCCGGCACUAGGAUCCUUCCACCCAGACCCAAUGAGAGGGUCGUUGGAGUCAAGACCAACCGGAGCGGCACUAGAAUCCGUCCAACCGCAUUCGCUACACUAUGGAGGAGGAGAAUAGGCCUUACUUUGAGGGGAUUAGAGCAGCCAAACUCCAUUUCAUCCCUCCAAAGGCAGCCCCGAAGCACGCUCUCAAUGCUCUUGAGACACCUCCUAAGCGUCGCAAGACUAUAGUAGAUAUUGAUGAGGACGUUCGUAGGCUAGACAAGGUCAUCAUAGAACUCCAGUCCUCGGUUAACUCCAUCACUAGGCAGCUCUCUAACCACAACACUGUGAUACUAGGUCUUAGGCAUGAUCUUGCUAGUGCCAAUAAGAAGAUCAGGGAGUUAGAGCGCCACUAAGUUAUCUAGAUUAGAUCUUGAGGCAAUGCAUCUUAGUAGUUUAUCUUUAAAUUCGGUUUAGAUUUACUAUUAGCUUCAGUUCAUUACUAGUCAUUUGUAAUAAAUGCCUCAAGAUUAAUAAUGAGUAUUAGUAUUAUUAUUAUGUCUUGUGUGUCUCUACUUUAUUUUUAUGCAAGUAAGCAAAAAACAAGUAUGGGGGAGAUCCCUCGACAUGCCAAACGUACUUCGACUACACCACUCCACGAUUCAGGUACAUACUCUGCACACUUUACUUUACACAUACACAUAUAUAUCUUGGAUUAUGCAGAAUAUUGUCACCGACAUGAUAAAUUAAAAAGAUUAAAAUGUUUCUAAUCAUGAUUAAUCUCACUCUGUGAUAUUUCCUGAAAACCUGCAAUUAUCGAAAAAUCAUUUUAAAACCCUAUGUUACUUAAGUCUUUGUGGAAUGUGAGAUGAUAGAGUAUGAGUAUCUUAUUCUUGAUAUCAUUGCUGCUUGGAGAAUUUAUUUCAAAAUCUUCAAAAAAUUCUAGCUACCAUCCUCAGUGUUUUAUAUGCCUGAUAAACCUAAAAUUAUAAUAAUAAAAGCUAUCUACUCUGUAUUGAGAUUGUUCAAAAUGAGUUACACCCUUGUUGAGACAUUUAUCAUGCUCCUAAGAUCAAGACUUUUAUUCAAAAAGAUUCACUCUUCCGAAGUAUUAUUGCGUUAGAGGCAUGGGCUAUGCAAAAAUAAGGAUAUUUGGAGGAAAUAAAAAGGAGCAAGUGCUCGACAACCUCGUAGAAAAAAUGGACAAGUGUCCGGCAGUAGAAUUAUAAUUGGUCUUCAGUAGACUUUGCCUGAAUUUCCAAAGUCUUUGAUCUAAGAGUAUGGCAUUCUUCUCCUCGGAUUCCGUUUUGAUCAGGCAAUAAAUGCAUGGUAAGUAUGCUUGAGAAUUUGUGCAAAUUAAAACAGCCUCAGUGAGAUAUAUAAAAAAUAAUGAGUGACCUGAUAACCUAUGAGGACAAAGGUAUGCUAAAUUUCUUUUCAAAAAUAUACAAAAACUCCAAGUAACAGGAUUGAGAAGAAAGGACCUCUACUCUUGACCAUAUAUUUCCCUGACUACGGUACACAGUAAAUUUUUACAUCACCCUGCAUGUAUGAAGAAAAUGCUUUACAAUGUUUUAACCCCAGAUAUUUCUCUUAACCAUCCUUUUCUUGAGGACGAGUAAAAGCCUAAGUAUGGGGGUAUUUGUUGAUGGUUCUUAAGUAUCAAUUUUAAUUAUCAAAUAAACAAGGGAAAGGACCAAUAUACAAACAACACCUAGAAUUAGGGUUUGAUCUGAAAGAAUUCCACGAGUUUUGUUGUGUAUCUGUUUCUGCAGGGGGUUAUCAGGAAAUAGGGAAGAAAGGCCCACAUGUCGGGAUUACAUAGAGAUAUUAACGCACCGCGCAAUUUUCUACCAUCUAGAAGACUCCAGAAGCCACGGGAAAGAACGGGAAGGCGAUCGGGCCUGGGGGCAGGGCGCCCGCCCUCCCCCCUAGGGCGCCCGCCCAGGUAAUGUGGCCAAUCACGGCCAAUCUCGCGGAUCACGCUCCACUGACCUAAAGGAUCAAGGAUAACCGUUCAAUCAAUGUCGUUUUGAUCCAACGGCCCACGUUCACCUGAGGGGACUAUAUAAGCAGACCCCCUGGCCCCUGGAGGAGAACAAGUUCAUCAUAGAGUUGAGAGGUGCCCUCGAAGGAUAACCUUUCCUCUAAAUAGACUUAGGGCUUAGCAUCUAAUGUGAGUAGACUAGAUCUACUAGAUUGAGAGAGAUAGAGUGGAGGUGUAGAUCGGAGGAAGCCUGGCGGUGUCUACUCCGAGGUUGUACUUGUGGGAUCAAGUUCUCCUAACCUGAAGCUUGUUCCUAGGAUUCUUCAGUAUUUCGACUUCUAAAUACUAGUAAGUUCUUGUUUUAUUGUUCUUUAGUUUAUGAGUUUACUUUAAUCUCUUCGCGUAGAGUUUAGAGUAAUCAUCUCUAGCGUAAACGUGGUGUUUGGGCUAGGAUACUCAUAGAUAUCCCCUGACUAGCUGGACCGUGGUAGUAGCGAGGAACGUGACAUUUUCGAGUUACCUUUAGAGCCCAUAUCCCGUUAGUAGGAUCGAUAGGGUUUAUAGGUGCGGGUUGAACAUCCUCUGUGGUGUCUAGAUUCCGUAAGCCUUCCCAAUAGAGCAGUAGAUUAUCCUUACCAAGGUUAGAACGAGAUUAAGGUUGUAGUCUUCUCUAUACAUCGCUCACAUCGAGAAACAUUCUUUGUAGCCUAAAGGUUAGUAGUAAUAGAUCGGGUUAGUCAGAUGCACUCUUUCUUCUAGUGGUAAAAAUAUAAAUACGAUACUCUGGAUAACAUCCCGGGUGAAGUGCUCACCGAUAUCCGUGCGCUUGCGGAUCAAUUCCUUGUUGCGUUCCCAAAUAUCAACAAGCAUUUCUGUCGCCGUUGCCGGGGAGAAAGACAGUUUGCUGAGAUAACCUUGAGUCUUACUAUUAGCUUGUACCUAUACUUUUAUCUUUUCUUAUCUUUUUAUAUUCAUUAUUUUCUUUAUUCUUACCUUAUGGAAAACCAAGAUUCUAAAUCGAUCUAUCAAUUUGCAACACCUUCGGAAACUGACCUUUUACCAUGGGAGUCAUCACAGCCUAUCCAAACAUCCCAGUAUAGGUUGAGUUCCAGAUUGAUUGCUAUGAUUCAAAACCUAUCUUUUUCAGGAAAGGAAGACAAAAACCUGGCCUUUCUUUGAAAUUUGCCCGCCUCAGAGCGUCUCCCUCCAAUUCCUCGCGCAAGGUGAUGAUCUAGAUUCCUAGAUAGACAGCGGACGUGAUGUCGACGGAAACCGGCCGCCCACUAUUUCGCCUCAGUUGUCUCUGUCCAUCGCAAACGCCGCCAUGCCUGUCAUCGUUGUUCCCUUGCUGCUCGGCGCGCCUGUGGACAGUCCCUCUUCACGGCUUCUAUGAUCCAACCAACCUCGCAGUUAGACGCUAGGUGAGCUCCUGGAACUCCUCUGGACCUCGGUUGGCUAUGCCAUGUCGUUCGCUCAUCAGCGCACCGUCACACCGCCACUGGCGCCAGCCGGCACAGCGCAACAACCACUUCGCUGUCGCUGCGCGCAUGAAGGCCACAUCUGACCAAGUCAAUGAUUUAAUGUUGAUGGAUUUGAAAUGUCCGUCGUUGUUAAUGCCUACGGAUUUUGCAACUUCAUUGUACCAAUUACAGCACAGAAGAACCACCGUCUAAUGGCUUUCUAGGUUAGAAUUUUGCACCAACUCAAUAAGCUCUCCAAGGACACCUUAAAAUUCCAUUGAUUCGAUCGCCACUAUGUGUGACGCUGGUCAUGACACCAUUGUUCUGUAUACGCAAGGAUUUCUCGUUGUCAACACUGUUAUACCACUAGUACACAAACCACUAUAUAGGCGGUUCCCAAUCCCUUUUCGCAGGCGGAUUAGAGAACCGCCUGCGCUGGGUGCCUGUGGAAAUCAAGAGUUUCCACAUGCGGGUAAUAUAGAACCGCAUGUAGAAAUCCAUUUCUACAUGCUGUUCAAUUAUGCCACCUGCCUAUAGAAAUGUAUUUUGUACAAGCGGUUGAAUUAUGCCACCUGCCUGUAGAAAUGUAUUUUCUAGAGGCGGUUCUCAUUACAUAACCGCCUGUGUUAAAAUUUUAUAUCUCUCACCAAUUUUCAAAUUUUUCCACCAGACCCUAUUUUUCAUUUUAUAUUUUAAUAUGUACAUACAAUAUACAUAUAUAUAUACACAUAAUAUUGAAACUACUAAAGUCUAGAGAUCAUGUCAACCAUUGCAACAUGCAAUUCAUUUAUAUAUAUAUAGUUAAUUUAUACAUAAGGUUACAUUAAUUACAAACAUGAUCACACAUCAAGUUUUUUCUGUUUACAUGCAUCAGAGGUUUCACCUCUGAAACCUCUCCUCUAAUAACCGAAUCAAGUUAGCUUUAGCCUACUAAUCUCCCUUAGCGCUCCGUAUUCAGGCUUUGCUAGGGCGCUGGUCCGAUUGCGAUAUUUCCCUUCGCUAGGAAUGACUUCUCUCAAGAUAAAUUUGUAGAGGUCCUCAACUAUGUUGUAUAAAGUGGCUUCACUCAUGCUCUUCACCUUUUCAAAGUCGUUUUGCUGCAUAGAAAGUUAGAAAACAUCAUAUAUUUAAAGUUCAUAAUACAUAAUUAACAACCUUAAUCACACAACUUUAAUUACUUAGAGCAUUAAUUACAUUAUAAGGGUUAGUGAUAUAUCUUCUGCCCUCUCUCAUGAACUCACAAACGUAGAAUCCACAGUGGACCGAUCCGGAUGGUUGCUUGUGACACUAUAUAAAGAAAAAGAGCAUAUUUGUGAGUUGCAACAUCGUCCUAUGCGUAUUCUAUGUAUAUAGCGAGAAUAACUUGGUAAACUUUCAUACGUACCGGCCACUUAUAAAAGAAUCUCAAAGGCUGCCACUGUAUUCCUCACUCACACCUUCCCCUUUUAAUCUUAUAAUACCUAUAGGCCCUAUGAUAUCGAAAACAUUCUGUAAGUUAUUGUCAAACUCUUAUAAAAUUUUGUAUGCAUAUUUUACCUGGCUUACCGUUCUAAGAGAGUAAUGAAUGGUGCAUAAGUUGUUGGUUCAUAGUCUGCGGAGUCUAGGACAUGCACACGUCCAAGCCUGGGAUUAAUCAUUAAGCAGAUCCAGUGGUCCAUGAGAGAAUCAACUUUGUGAUCAAAGUGCGCAUUUUAAUUAUUAAUACAAUGCAUGAAAACUGACACUUACCAAAAGUUAUAUGGUGCAAAUAUUAAUUCUCUGUCUUGAAACUCUAGCAUUGUCAUGGCUAGGUAGAGACCGUAACGAGCUAUUUGUUUCUUUUCCCUUUUCUGUAUUUCGUCCUCGCGCUCUUUAGGAUCCAAACUUUUUAAGGAGUCAUGAUCUUUUCCGAUCCUAAAAGUGUGCUCGUCCUCACAUAUCCUCAUUGGGCUCAUAUACGUGACCGUUUUACUAGCAUUAGUACUUAAAUCCGCACCGUACCGCAUCUGUUGCUGUUCAUAUUGCAUUCUGCAACGUGCACUUGUAUGUUAGUAUCAAAGUUUAAUACAACUCACAAAUAAUAACACAUGAAAGCAUUUUAUGAGCGACACUUACAAUGCAAACACAGUUAUGAGCUGCACAUCGAGUCUUUGUAGGUUCAUCAUUAACCACAUGUCCUUGAAGGUCACAAUUGCUCUUGUAAGAUCACUAUUAAAUGCCUUUGCUGGUAUAUCUACACUGAUCGUGUCGAUGCCAACAGAAGUUGCUCUCAUAUACCAGUCAUGGAACCUUUUUACACCAGCUGGGACCUUUUUAAGUUUAUCCCAAGUGAGUAGAGUCCUGCCCAGCUCAUAUUUCUUAGGGACAUUUAUAAUCAUCUUUAGUGGGUGGCCUAAUAUUUACAAAAGCUGGUUCAGACUUCUUUGCUUCCUUCUCAUGCUCAGCCAAGUCAACUAAUUUUGUCGGGCAGCUCACUGCAAUUCCUGACAAAAAUAGGGCAGUACCAGCAGACUUCCUCUUCUUUGGCUCGUACAGAGAAAUCAAUUUGGGCACUAAAAAUUUUAAAUUAUUUUGUGGCGGUGGUGUCGUCUCAUCAUAUUUGGUUGGUUGUGGUAGUGUCUCAGCAUUUUUGGGUGGUGGUGGUGUGGAAGAUUCUGGUGGUGCUGGCGAAGAUUGUGGUUUAGGUGAUGGUGGCGGGGAUGGUGGGUGAGGCAUUAUAGGAGAGGAAGGUGGAGCGAAGAUCAGAGAGGGUGGUGGACUCGAAAGAGAUGUGGUACCAGCGACAUCUGCAAGGGAUGACUCCUGAGUCAACGGUACUUCUCGGGGCGAUGGUUGUGGUAGCUCAGACAACAGGACGUCCCGUCGAGGCUAAAGAAUGAAAUUCUUGAUAGCUUGUCCCAGCUUCUCAAUACCCUCAGGACCAGGAAUGUCUAGCAUGUCAUCCCCAUAUCCUUGGACAACUGUUAGCACUUCCACCCUGUAGUAGUCCUCUAGAAUUUCGCUACCAUAAACUAGCGCCCCGGGAUCGCAAGUCCUGUGGCUACUUCCCUUGUACGAUUGUAGCACCCGAUUUUAAGAACAAAACUAGAUACACACCAUAUGUGAGCACAGGAAGUCAAAUCUCACAUAUAGCCACAAAUAGGGGUAAUAUCAAUAGACAAUGCUUAUAUAUAACAAACUUAGUAUAAAAGAUAUAACCUUAGAUAGCAAACAGCGGAAAGACUCUCCGUUCUUCAGGCGAAAGCUCCAAAUCCACAGGGACAACUGACUGGUUGAGCACAAGCCUAAACUCUUCUCCAAACUAGCAAUCUGGUACCCAUCCGGGAUUUUUAUCCAAAUAAAAUGUAAAGGUAAGCGUAAGUACAUCUCGUACUCAGGAAGAAUAACAUAGGGUUCAUGAGGCUCAAAGGCUCGACACUAGUUAAACUGCAUGUAGCUUUUAGUUGUCAUAAUUUUAGCAUAUGAGUAGCAUUAAGUUGUCAAGUCCCAUAGUAAACUCAUGAUCAAGUAAAGUGAAUAAAGAAUAACAUAAACAACAUAUUAACAAUAAUAACAUUAAUGAUUUGCCAUUAGUGAUUAUUUAUUCUGUAUUGGUCCAAGGCCGCUCGUGACCGUGAGCACGGCUGAUAUAUCAGUUUUACACUCUGCAAAGGUUGUACACUUUCACUGUGAGUCAUGAUUUACCCUUUUGCCCGAGGUAGCUAAUCUCUUAACCCCUUCCUAGGGAGGUCGGUAGGGAUCACUAUGAAGCCUUUCAAAGGUUCGUCUAACAAGUUAGGGCCGCUUGGUUUCAUUAGUCAGUCCAUGUGAUUCACCCGCAGGAAUCCACGGUCUGCUAUUCCCCAUUUGCGCCACAAGGGUAACCACUAACAAGCUAGAAAAGGUCCUCAUACUGAGCUAAAGCCAGAGCCAUGUAGCCCUCAUAGUUGAAAUGUAUGUCCCAGAUGGUCAUAUACAGAUAAGUCCUUAUGGAGAGAAACUAGAGCACCAUAAGAUAGCCCAAUGCUCCAGCCCUCUUUUCCAAAGUUGCUAAAAAAUCAUCUUUUAAUGUUUAUUGCAUAUUCCUUUAAUCAAAUUACAAGAUCAUGGUUUAGUGGAGCACUAGCAUAAGCUACCCAAUGCAAAACCAUAGGUGACAAGGUAUAAGAUCAAUACUAGGAAUUGCUUAACAAGGAGAUACAUGCAAUAUGAAUUGUAUGAUUAAAGUUAUUAGGAAACAAGGAUGAUCCCUUGCUAUACAUGCCUUAAAACUCAGAUCCUUCUUUUAGUUCCAAACCUUCCAUAAACUGCUUCUUGAUCACCACGUAAAAGCUCACCGUCUAAACUCAGUCAUCACAUCAACAACAAUCAUCCAUAGGCAAUCAUACAAAGCAAACAAACCUAUAAUUAGAACAAUACACCAACAGUAGAAAAUAAAGAUGAAAAGUUUAUAAAAUGAAUCUACAUCGCACUACGAUCACACAGACGUAAAGAUCACGAAAAUCGGAGAUAUAACGAAAAAGAUAUGAAUUUUCUAAGAUUUCCUUUAAUAAAAUAAUUAAUUAAAUAGGAUCACGAAAAUAAAAAGUUGUAAACUUGUAAAACAGUGAGACUAACAUGUAGAUCUUGUGAUUACGAAUCUAACGCAAUUUGAAUGGAUCAAAUCGGAGUUAAAAUGAAGAUUUUAUGAGCUAAACAAAUCUGGUGGCAAUUUUGUAAUUACUGAAAACGUAUUUUGAUUUAGAAACCAAGGUAAACUAAUUGGAGCAGAACACACGCCUGACAGCCAGCCAUUGGCAGCAGCGAGCUCCUAGCCGGCGAGCAUGAAACUGAAGCCUACGGCCACGAUUUGAUGCGGGGAAAACAAACUCACCAAUAGAGAUUUCGCAGAUAGGUACGAAGCGGAGAUGGAAAGCAGGGCGACGGACGGAUCGACACCGGACUGAGGGCGAUCACGUUGUAGAGAAGAAAAUAUAAUUUUAUUUUACUACAUUAGGAAUUCUCAAAUUAGAGGCUUCCCAUAUGGUAGUCUUUGGUGUGCUUUGCCUAAGGGGUUGGUACAUAUAUAUAGGAAGAAAAACUCCCCACCUUCACGUCAACUAGCGAUAUGGUACUAAUUGAUUUGUACCCUUUAUCUUUACUAAUAGGUCUAAUUAAUUAUUAAAGCCCGUUAAUAAAUAAAGACAUGGGCCUUGAGCGUUGAGAAAAAUGAGAGAUUUAUUAUUUUCAGAAUUAAUUAAUUUCAUGGAUAAAAUAAUUCUAGAAAAAUCCAGAAUUAUUAUUUAAGCCACGAAAAAUACUUCGAAAGCUCAAAAAAAUUCGAGGAAAAUUCUCAGAGACAUUAUGGAAUACGAGGAACCCAAAUAAAGUAUUUGGAGCUCAUGAUGAGAUAAUAUGGAGUAUCUAAAAAUUAGAUCAUGCUCAUAGAAGAGUGAGAACAAAAGCUGGAAAAAUUUCCGAAAAGUUUGUAGAGAUUGCUUGAUGGACGACGAACUAAAAGAAGUUCUUUGAGUGAUAAAGAAAAGAUUUUAGGAAGCUCCUAAUAAAACAUGAGCUAAGAAACAAGGAAUUUGGUUGUAGAUAAAGAUAAAGACGUACCGAUCAAGAAAGAUUGAUCUACUAAACGCAUUUCAAAAACUUUGCUCACUCUCAACACCCAAAGGAGUAACAAGCAAACAUUACAUCAAAUAUUAUGCACUAGGAUGUAUGCACAACAAUGUUGCUAAGCCUUACGAUAAAUUUAAUUUAAUGAAAAAUAUUAUUUUUCCUAUAUUUUCAUGGGCACAAAAAUAUAUAAUCAAAUUGUUUUAACUCUAUUUCGAAAGGAGUAAAUUUUAGGGUGUUACAAUUCUACCCCCCUUAAGAUGAAUCUCGUCCUCGAGAUUCGGAAGAUGGUUACCAAAAAGAUGUGGAUACUCUUAACAUUGAAUGUUCUUGUCUUUUCCAAAUAGUCUCCUCUACGGUGUACCGGUUCCACUGAACUUUGCACAUCCUGAUAAUGCAACUCCUGGUAACCCUUUCUGUUGUUUCCAAAAUUCUUACUAGGUACUCUUUGUAUGUGGGUUCCUCUUUAACAGCCAAUUCCUCCAAUGGGUUCUGCUCCAAUGGCACACGCAAACACUUCUUGAGUUAAGACACAUGGAAAACAUCAUGCAUCCCUCCCAAUCUUUCAGACGCUCUAAUUAGUAAUCCACUUCACCCCAUCUUUCUAACACUUUGAAAGGCCCGAUAUACCUUGGUGCUAACCAUUCCUUCAUAUUAAAUCUUCUUACACUUCUCAUAGGUGACACCUUCAAAUACAUAUAGUCUUCUACUUCAAAAGCUUAUUCUUUUCUCCAAUUGUUAGCAUAUCUCUUCUGUUGAGACUGUGCCACCCUUAAGUUAUCCCUGAACACUCUCACUUGUUGUUCUGCAUCUCUUAGAACAUCUGGCCCAAACACUUGUGUUUUACCUAUUUGAUUUCAAAACAAUGGGGUUCUACACUUCCGUCCAUACAAAGCUUAAAGACAUACCAUUCGAAGGCUCUUAUAUGAUAAUCUAUUGUCCUAAGAAAACUCCGCAUUCGGUAAACUCUUAUCCCAACUUAUACCAUACUCUAAUGCACAAGCUCCCAACAUAUCCUCCAAAACCUGAUUAAUUCUUUGGGUCUGCCCAUUAGUAUGAGGGUGAUAUACGGUACUAAAAUUCAUCUUGGUUCCUUAAGAUGUAUGCACUUGUUGCCAAAAUUGAGACAUAAGCUAGGUACCUCAAUCAGAAACUAUCUUCUUAGGGACCCCUUGCAAAUGCACUAUCUUUUCCAUAUACCAUUAAGCCAACCUUGGUCCAUUAUAAUUGGUCUUAACCGGGAUAAGAUGAUCAACUUUAGUCAACCGAUCUACUAUUGCCCAUAUGAAAUCAUAACCUUUAUGAAUACAUGACAAUCCCACUAUGAAGUCCAUACCAACUUCUUCCCACUUCCACUCGGGGAUUUUCAUUGGUUGCAAUAAUCCGGCAGGUCUCUGGUGCUCUACUUUAACUCUCUGCAUGUAUCUCAUAACGCAACAUACUCAGGUUAAGUUGCUCCACUCUUACACACAACUCUUGAGUCUUCCAACAUAACUUCUAAUUAAUCUUUGUUGUUCCUCUUGUUCCCGAGUGAGUAAUUAGUAAAGCUCAUUCGAUAGUACUAGUGACAUCACUCUAGUUCAACACUCAACUCCUCAAACCUUGGUGUUAUUUGAACUCCUCUAGCACACUUUUUAUGCUUUGACAUUCGCAAAGGCUUUUUCUCAUUCAAGUGAUAUCACUUUUCCUAGUCAUAACUCUUGAUUCACUCAAAUCCAUCAAUGAUGUGGCUAGCUCAAAUCCAACUUCCUAAAGAUGCCCUUUAGUCUCUUACAUUCUACGUAGAUAUCACUCUUAUAUCCAAGAAGAUAGUAUCUCGAUGCUCCACUAUGGAUACCUCCACAUCAUGUGUUAGGUGGUCCAACUCACUUAGUCAACUUAUGCAUAAGCCACUACUUUUCUCGUAUAGAGCACAUCCAAAUUCUUGAUGGGAUAUAUAAGAACUCUUACACCGAUAUUUAUAACACCUUUUAUAAACCACUUAUAGAAUCUUAUUAUUCCAAAUCAAUCUCAUAGUCACUCUUAUGUCAAGAUUACAAUGCCUCCAAUAAACCUAUGAUAGCUUCUUGUCAUUCCCAUGGAACUCUACAUCUUAUUCACUUCUUUUGGUGGGUCCCAAACUAAAUGCAUCCUUUGACUUUCUCAUGUUCAUCAUAAAGAUGACAUAUCCUAGGUGAGAACUUUCAUUAACCAAAACUUAAUUGUUAUGCUUGGUGUAGUAACGAGAUUUUCUAAGCUUUCAUGAACCAACCGUAGAUGUACCACAUCCACUUCCUAUGUCGUCAAUGCCAUGUCACCUUGGGUAUGCUGAAGAUUAGACUCCCAUUUGAUGAUAGUUCAAGUCCAGAUCAAACCUUGAUGAAUAUACAGUCUCCUUGUACAUGGAACCAACACAUAAGAACUCUUUAGCAAGGAUACUUGAUAGUGACUUCUCAACCAAAGGAAUGAUUGGCACUUCAAAGUCAAGUGCUAGAAUGUAUGAAACAUUCAUCUUGUGACUUCAUUAGCUUGGCUACCCCCCUUAAGAAAAGUAAACUAGGGGGCACAAAAGCUUGCUCCAUCUUCCAAGUGAUUAUCUAAUCAUAGGAUCUCCUAAUACCCGAAAGAAACUAUGCACUGACACAUACAAGAAAUUUAAAAUUCUUCAUGAAAUGAAAAUCUGCAGCUUAGUAAAACAGCUCUAACUCAUACUCCAUCAAUCUGAUAUACUUAUGGCCUACACCGUUGAAAAGCUGACAAAAUCCUCUAUGACUCUUGUAUAGAAUACUUUCUCCGGUUCUAUCACUAAGUUUGAGUAAAACAGCCAAACAUAAUAUCCAUCCCGACCAUGUCUCAGCAUAGAUGCAGUAACUUGCAGAAGGCAUAUCUUGAGCUACUUGAAUCAUAUGGUGACCAUCCUUAUAUUGUUGAAAGCUUAUAAAAUCCUCCAUAACCUUUGUAUACAACAUUUUCCCAGAUUCAGAAUUUAAUUUGGCUGAAAAUAGGAAAUACCAGGACUGUCCAGACUUUGAAACAGAACAGAAACAUCCAAGUGUAAAUGUCAUAUAUCAGGUUCUACUUAUCCAAAUAAGUUCCAGCUUAUACCGUUAGAAAUAUUAGCAAAUUGUCUACAACUUUUCUAUAGAUCCUUUUUCCAAAUUCAGGAGUUACAAUUGUAUAAAACAGUAGGCAACUGAAACUGGUCCCGAUUCCUGACAGCUCAACUGUACCAUAUUGUGAUUUUUGUAACUUCCAAACCAUAAUAGCUAUGAGGGUGAUUCUUGUGGUCAGAGAAAGAUCUUGAAGUCCACUGUCGUCCAAAAUUUCCUCAUGAUUUUUGUUAAUUUGAGAACAGAGAUAUAAUCUGAUAAAGAGAGGAUACUCCGAAAAGACAGGAUAAGAUAACAAGAGAAAAACCAAAACCCAACUAUUUAUGUCAUUAAUCCUUAUACCUUAGACCUAUACACUAAAUGAAAUUGUGGAGAAAUCCCACAAGAUCACUGCACUCACUUCAAAGAUCCAAAUCAAGCAUAAGCAUAAUGACAAACCAAUUAGGCAUUGAAGGUUCACACUCACUCAACUUGCGAUUCAUAGUAAGGGUAAAGAUCCUAAAACUCCUCUUUUGAUUAUGCAAGCAGGUGGUAAGAGAAGAUUCUAAAGAUAUACCAAAUCAAGGAGUGAAGAUAAGGAAAAUGAUUUUAAAAGUAAGCAACAAGGUAGGAAGGAGUAGCAAGGGUAGAGAUAUAAUAUAGAGGAAAAUACCAAGGUUUAUAGAGCAAGGUGUUAUAACAAUUUCAAAACCUUAAGAUGACCAAUUUCUAACUAGGCUAGCGUCCUACAGUCAGCAUUGCUCUGAUACCACUUUGUAGCACCCGGUUUUAAGAACAAAACCAGAUACACACCAUAUGUGAGCCCAGGAAGUCAAAUCUCACAUAUAGCCACAAAUAGGGAUAAUAUCAAUAGACAAUGCUUAUAUAUAACAAACUUAGUAUAAAAGAUAUAACCUUAGAUAGCAAACAGCGGAAAGACUCUCCGUUCUUCAGGCGAAAGCUCCAAAUCCACAGGGACAACUGACUGGUUGAGCACAAGCCUAAACUCUUCUCCAAACUAGCAAUCUGGUACCCAUCCGGGAUUUUUAUCCAAAUAAAAUGUAAAGGCAAGCGUAAGUACAUCUCGUACUCAGCAAGAAUAACAUAGGGUUCAUGAGGCUCAAAGGCUAGACACUAGUUAAACUGCAUGUAGCUUUUAGUUUUCACAAUUUUAGCAUAUGAGUAGCAUUAAGAUGUCAAGUCCCAUAGUAAACUCAUGAUCAAGUAAAGUGAAUAAAGAAUAGCAUAAACAACAUAUUAACAAUAAUAACAUUAAUGAUUUGCCAUUAGUGAUUAUUUAUUCUGUAUUGGUCCAAGGCCGCUCGUGACCGUGAGCACGGCUGAUAUAUCAGUUUUACACUCUACAGAGAUUGUACACUUUCACUGUGAGUCGUGAUUUACCCUUUUGCCCGAGGUAGCUAAUCUCUUAACCCCCAUCCUAGGGAGGUCGGUAGGGAUCACUAUGAAGUCUUUUAAAGGUUCGUCUAACAAGAUAGGGCCGCUUGGUUUCAUUAGUCAGUCCAUAUGAUUCACCCACAGGAAUCCACGGUCUGCUAUUCCCCAUUUGCGCCACAAGGGUAACCACUAACAAGCUAGAAAAGGUCCUCAUACUGAGCUAAAGCCAGAGCCAUGUAGCCCUCAUAGUUGAAAUGUAUGUCCCAGAUGGUCAUAUACAGAUAAGUCCUUAUGGAGAGAAACUAGAGCACCAUAAGAUAGCCCAAUGCUCCUGCCCUCUUUUCCAAAGUUGCUAAAAAGUCAUCUUUUAAUGUUUAUUGCAUAUUCCUUUAAUCAAAUUACAAGAUCAUGGUUUAGUGGAGCACUAGCAUAAGAUACCCAAUGCAAAACCAUAGGUGACAAGGUAUAAGAUCAAUACUAGGAAUUCCUUAACAAGGAGAUACAUGCAAUAUGAAUUGUGUGAUUAAAGUUAUUAGGAAACAAGGAUGAUCCUAUGCUAUACUUGCCUUAAAACUUAGAUCCUUCUUUUAGUUCCAAACCUUCCAUAAACUGCUUCUUGAUCACCACGUAAAAGCUCACCGUCUAAACUCAGUCAUCACAUCAACAACAAUCAUCCAUAGGCAAUCAUACAAAGCAAACAAACCUAUAAUUAGAACAAUACACCAACAGUAGAAAAUAAAGAUGAAAAGUUUAUAAAAUGAAUCUACAUCGCACUACGAUCACACAGACGUAAAGAUCACGAAAAUCGGAGAUAUAACGAAAAAAGAUAUGAAUUUUCUAAGAUUUCCUUUAAUAAAAUAAUUAAUUAAUUAGGAUCACGAAAAUAAAAAGUUGUAAACUUGUAAAACAGCGAGACUAACAUGUAGAUCUUGUGAUUACGAAUCUAACGCAAUUUGAAUGGAUCAAAUCGGAGUUAAAAUGAAGAUUUUAUGAGCUAAACAAAUCUGGUGGCAAUUUUGUAAUUACUGAAAACGUAUUUUGAUUUAGAAACCAAGGUAAACUAAUUGGAGCAGAGCACACGCCUGGCGGCCAGCCAUUGGCAGCAGCGAGCUCCUAGCCGGUGAUCAUGAAACUUAAGCCUACGACCACGAUUUGAUGCGGGGAAAACAAACUCACCAAUAGAGAUUUCGCAGAUAGGUACGAAUCGGAGAUGGAAAGCAGGGCGACGAGCGGAUCGACACCGGACUGAGGGCGAUUACGUUGUAGAGAAGAAAAUAUAAUUUUAUUUUACUACCUUAGGAAUUCUCAAAUUAGAGGCUUCCCAUAUGGUAGUCUUUGGUGCGCUUUGCCUAAGGGGUUGGUACAUAUAUCCCACCUUCACGUCAACUAGCGAUAUGGUACUAAUUGAUUUGCACCAUUUAUCUUUCCUAAUAGGUCUAAUUAAUUAUUAAAGCCCAUUAAUAAAUAAAGACAUGGGCCUUGAGCGUUGAGAAAAAUGAGAGAUUUAUUAUUUUCGGAAUUAAUUAAUUUCAUGGAUAAAAUAAUUCUAGAAAAAUCUAGAAUUAUUAUUUAUGCCACGAAAAAUACUCUAAAAGCUCUAAAAAUUCGAGAAAAAUUCUCAGAGACAUUAUGGAAUAUGAGAAACCCGAAUAAAGUAUUUGGAGCUCAUGAUGAGAUAAUAUGGAGUAUCUAAAAAUUAGAUCAUGCUCACAGAAGAGUGAGAACAAAAGCUAGAAAAAUUUUCGAAAAGUUUGUAGAGAUUGCUUGAUGGACGAGGAACUAAAAGAAGUGUUUUGAGUCAUAAAGAAAAGAUUUUAGGAAGCUCCUAAUAAAACUUGAGCUAAGAAACAAACAAUUUGGUUGUCGAUAAAGAUAAAGACGUACAGAUCAAGAAACGCAUUUCAAAAACUUUGCUCACUCUCAACACCCAAAGGAGUAACAAGCAAACACUACAUCAAAUCUUAUGCACCAGCAUGUAUGCACAACAAUGUUGCUAAGCCUUACGAUAAAUUUAAUUUAAUGAAAAAUAUUAUUUUUUCUAUAUUUUCAUGGGCACAAAAAUAUAUAAUCAAAUUGUUUUAACUCUAUUUCGAAAGGAGUAAAUUUUAGGGUGUUACAACAAUUAUUGUUAAGACCGUACCUUAUGACUAGGGAGCAACAAACAGGACUUUCAAUCUCAUCAACUGGAUAGUGGUAAUACGCGACACUGCUUGGAACAACCAGAGCCUGUUGUGAUGUUGUCGGGGCGACCACUAGCUGCAUCUGACGAGGUUGACCACUCAAUUGGCUAGACAUCGCAGACGCCAAUCGCUGCAUCAACUCAGGAGGAGGAUCGGAGAGAAUUUUAUUCAUCACCUAUUCGACUUCUUUCUUAGCCUCCUCCUUAAAAAAAUUAGACAAUUCUUCCUUAUAGCGAUCGCGUUUCCUAUACAUUCCUUCCCACUCUGGUCUGAAUCCUUCUUUCCAUCCUUCCUUGGAUGAGAUGCCUCGUACAUGACCAGGAUGCUCUGGGUUACCCAGAGCAACAAUAAGAACAUCCUUCUCCCUUUGUGGCUUAAAUUCGCCUACUUGCUGCUUAGCUGCCACCUUGAAAAUAUUCUUCGCAGCCUCUUCGACCAUUGGGUCAGCAAAUGACAAGCCAGAAUUGGCUUUCUUUGCUGGUUGUUGACGGUUCUUAAGUAUCAAUUUUAAUUAUCAAAUAAACAAGGGAAAGGACCAAUAUACAAACAACACCUAGAAUUAGGGUUUGAUCUGAUAGAAUUCCACAAGUUUUGUUGUUUAUCUAAUUCUGCAGGGGGUUAUCAGGAAAUAAGGAAGAAAGGCCCACAUGUCGGGAUUACAUAAUGAUAUUAACGCACCACGCAAUUUUCUACCAUCUAGAAGACUCCAGAAGCCACGGGAACGAACGGGAAGGCGAUCGGGCCCGGGGGCAGGGCGCCUGCCAUCCCCCUAGGGCGCCCGCCCUGGAGUUCUGCCCAAACACGUCCAACUUCGCGGAUCACGCUCCACCGACCUAAAGGAUCAAGGAUAACCGUUCAAUCAAUGUCGGUUUGAUCCAACGGCCACGUUCACCUUAGGGGACUAUAUAAGCAGACCCCCUGGCCUCUGGAGGAGACGAAGUUCAUCAUAGAGUUGAGAGGAGCCCUCGAAGGAUAACCUCUCCUCUAAAUAGACUUAGGGAUUAGCAUCUAAUGUGAGUAGACUAGAUCUACUAGAUUGAGAGAGAUAGAGUGGAGGUGUAGAUUGGAGGAAGCCUGGCCUAUCGGUGUCUACUCCGAGGUUGUACCUGCGGGAUCAAGUUCUCCUAACCCGAAGCUGCACUCCUAGGAUUCUUCAGUAUUUCGACUUCUAAAUUCUAGUAAGUUCUUGUUUUAUUGUUCUUUGGUUUAUGAGUUUACUUUGAUCUCUUCUCGUAGAGUUUAGAGUAAUCAUCUCUAGCGUAAACGUGGUGUUUGGGCUAGGAUACUCAUAGAUAUUCCCUGACUAGCUGGACCGUGGUAGUAGCAAGGAACGUGACAUUUCCGAGUUACCUUUGCAGACCAUAUCUCGUUAGUAGGAAGGAUAGGGUUUAUAGGUGCGGGUUGAACAUCCUCUGUGGUGUCUAGAUUCCGUAAGCUUCCCCAAUAGAACAGUAGAUCAUCCUUACCAAGGUUAGAACGAGACUACGGUUGCAGUCUUCUCUAUAUAUCACUCACAUCGAGAAACAUUCUUUGUAGCCUAAAGGUUAGUAGUAAUAGACUGGGUUAGUCAGACGCACUCUUUCUCCUAGUGGUAAAAAUAUAAAUACGAUACUCUCGAUAACAUCCCGGGUGAAGUGCUCACCAAUAUCCGUACGACUUGUCUAUUUUUACCUCUCGUCUCACUUUUUCUUUCUUUCGAGGUUCCGGGCACUUGCCCCUUUUUAUUUCCUCGUAUCUCUUUUUUAUUCUCUCUUUUUUUCUUUUUUUUAGAGCACUCAUCUCCUGAAAUAAUAUAGCAAGUGGUAGUAACCAAGAUAACUUGAGCAUUUAUUUCACAGGGAAAAACAGAAAUAGGAGAAUGUUUUUGGCUAUUCUCUCCCGGAUUAGGAGUAGAAUAUUUUUGGGUGGUUCUGGAGAUGGAAAUGGAUGGAUAUAUGUGGAUGGUACUUCUGGAGUAGAAGCAGCAUGUAUGAGUGAACGUGCAAGUGAAUCUUGAUUUAACCACAUGACAAGCUCCUAAGGGUCUACACAGCUUGACCACACUCAAUGCUCAUAAGUAGUAAAGUAAAUGUGUGGUUCAUAGUCUAGCAAGCAUGUAUAUAUGGCUGUGGAAGGAAUUUAAACUCUCAUCAUACAGGAACUCAUCAUGCAACAUUUUAAAGAUUUUCAAAGAUAAAUUUCUCCAUAAUUCUAGCAUCUCUAGGAAGAGAUAAACAGCAACUCAACCUUUCCAUAUCAUAUCCGUUAAUGACUUAGACUUUAGAUCAAGUACUCUCCCCAUAAGUUCAGGUUUAGAGCAAAUCUUAAUUAAUACCAGUCAUGCCUAAACUUGAGAGAGAUUUUAAUUUUGAGAACUAGCCAUGGCAGAGCAACUAUUCAUCAUUUCCAUGUGAGAGCUUAUCAUGAGGGUUCAUAGCAAACUUUAUUUAUUUAGCAAACUAAGCAAAGAUAUAUAUAAGCACAAAAUCUUUAUUUGGGUUUUUAUGAUUAUGCAUCUUUUUAUUAUUUGAGUAAAGUAUAAACGUGAGUAGAAACACUUAGCUGGAUAAAUGGGGGUGCUCUCCCCCAAGCUGGAUUUUGACGAAGUUUCUUCAGACCUUACAACUUCUCCUUCAUAGUCUACCCAUCUGUCCUUGAUGAUUUGUCUCCUCUGGCUGCGGUUGCGUCGUCGUCUUCUUGUCCUGACCUGCUUAGAGUCUUCAACUAUAUAGUUAGGGUCAGUAAAACAGUGGCGUAUCUUCUCUGAGGGGAAGUGCAUGUGGACUUCUCUGGUUCCAAUGUAUAUGAUUGCUUUAAUGGUGCUAAAGAACGGUCUUCCAAGGAUGAUGGGUGGAUCAUACUUGUCUUCUCCCAUGUCAAUAACCUUAAAAUCAUCUGGAGCUGAUUGUAUGUCGGUUUUAGGGGCAUGGUUCCGAAUAGGAGCUGAUAGGUGACUGGCGGCCAUUGUGUUGACGCCUGACCCGGUGUCGCAAAGCAUCUUCUGGAAGUUGUAUCCAUCAAUGGAGCACUGGAUGCUUGGCAUACUUGGGUCGUCCUUUUUGGUUAGGAACGGUGACUUAAGUCAACGAUCUUGACCUCCUUGAACUGCAGUGACCAUCUUUGCUGACUUGGUCCACAUUUUCUUGUUCCUGUUCCUCCUGUUGGUCCUCUUCCUUGUUUCAUGUCGGGAUUGCUCUGAGAUUUGUGUAGUCUUAUUCUUGAAGGUAAACGUCUCCUUCCUCCCCUUGAUGUAGAAACUGAUCUUGGCAGCACUAGCGUAGAUGACAGCUCCCGAGGUGUUCAGGAAUGGCCUCCGUAUGAUAAUGGGUGCCUUCUCAUCAGUACCAGUUUCUAUCACCACGAAGUCUGCUGGGGUGUACAAGGUACCAACUCGGAUGCAGAGGUUCUUCACUAUUUCCUUUGGGAAACUUAGCGUACGAUCUGCAAGCCUGGGCAUAAUGUUGACGCUGGAGCCAAAGUCACAGAGUGCUUCUGGGAAGUCCACCAUGCCGAUGGAGAUCGGGAUGACGGGGCGUCCUGGAUUGUCUCUCUUGACCGGCAGGAGGUCAGUAAUUACUUCCACAACGGGGUUACUCCAGUAGUUACGUCCUCAAGCAUCUCAGGGCAGUUAUUGCCUGAGUGUCCAGUAUCUCCAGUGUGUUUAUGCUCGUAGAUCUAGGUUCUUCACUUGGUGGAGUCUGGGAGUUGUAAAACUCCUUCAUAUUUUGCUCGAAGUGUACCUGCUCAUAGAGACAAGGCAGAGAUCAAGUGCAUGGGCUCUGUUGGUGGAAAACACCAACAGAACCAAAAGUGUAUUUGUUCUUCUCUAACCUCAAGCAUAGUGAGCAAGACAAAGUUGAUGGAUAAUAAAAUCAUGAGUGUAGUAUUUAACAUUUGUCAGAUUAGAUUGCUCAGCCAUGUGGAAAGAUAAUCUAUCUACAUAUAUGUUUUGUUUAUAUCUUCCAAAGAUUGAGUGUGCAACAUUUUAGCUAAUAUGAUUAGGAGUGUGGAAUCACAAAGGUGGAAGGACUAAACAUGUUGAAUCGAUUGGGUUGGUUAAUCAAGAGUUGUAGAUUAUACAUGUUUGUCUCUUCUAUUCAUGUGAAGGCCAGAACCAAGGAGAAGCUUAUAGAAGUGAUAGUCAAGUACUUUAAGAUGUUACCUUACUUGAAGAGUGAUGGUACAGUAUCACCUUGUGGAAGCUUUCCUCUCUCAGCGGUUGUGCAUUGUGUUUGUGGCACCCUCCAUGGAUCAUCUCUUGUGAGCUAUGCCUUUCUUGUGUAAAUUGUUAAACUUCAUGUGUGUCUCUCUUUGUCUCCAAUGUGAGUUUAUCUCAGGACUUCCCAGGUCGAUAUUCAAAGUUUUCCUGCAGGGGUUACUCCAACAAAAUAUACCAAUGUCUACACAAGCAGUUUUUAGUUCAAUAACCAAACUAGACUCCAUGUCUAAUUAGAUUAAGGAAGGCUGUUUAACCUAAGCACCAUGCUUAAUUUAAAAACCAAUAGAAGUAUGUACAGUACUUCCAAACUAACACUUACUAGGAUAAACAAAGGUAGCGUGAUGGCUUUUAUAGAGAUCUACUCAAGUGGAGAUGAAGUAAUGUGAUUACUAUUUAACAAAUUGAGCAUGUCUCAAAGGUAGGGACAACCAACAUAGCAACAUGGCAAAGAAUGUUUUUAUGUAAAGUACUCCCCCAAGCUUGAAUUUUGCAAAAUUCAAGUUUGGAUGAAUUUAAUUCAAUGUUGUAUGAUGAUUGGUUGUACAUACCUUGUGCUUGUCAUUCAUCCGAUCUUCUUGCUCCAAUCCUAGAAAGGUUAGUGACAAGAAUACCCGAAGGAAUUUUUUUUACAAUUAUCCUUAUAUGCUCAAUACACAAGGUAAUGUUGCAAAUAAUUAAAAGCUCAUGUUACCAUCUGAUCAGUGCUUGUUUUAGGACACUAAGCUUGUCCUUGGGAAACCAUCAAUUUAUGUCGGCGAAGUGGUUUCCCCUCCAACGCUGACCUAUAUCAAGAUCAACUCAACGAGAUCUGCAAUAUUUAAUAUAGACAUAUGCAUCGACAACCGCCCUUUUAAAGUUUUUAUAAAUAGAAAGGAUGAGGGGGUUGGAGAUCUCGAAUGUGGUGAUGUUGGAGAGACCAAUGGAUUGUGAAGAUGUUGCAUAUGAGCAUGGAGUAAAUGAAGUGGCUAUGAAAUAAAUUCCAUGCUCAUUAAUGCUUAGAGUGAAAUCCAUGUGGUAUGGUGAAAAUGGUAAGGCGAGUGUGAUAAAAAAGGAAAAGAAAAAGGAUACACGGACGACUUGGUUCAAAACUAGCACAGCUACCGUUCCCCGGCAACGGCGCCAGAAAGCUUGUUGGGUAUUUUAAACGCAAACAGAAAAAUCCGCAAGCGCACGGAUACCGAUGUAGCCUUCACCCGGGAGUAUUCCAGAGUAUCGAUUUUCCACAGAGAACGUGAGUGUACUAAUUAAGAUCCAAGAUCGCCCAAGGAUAACUAUAUAAUUAUUUUUGGUGGGAAGAGAGGAAGUUUCCUGAGAGUUCUCUAGUUGAUCUAAGAAUCAAGAAUUACUUCAAGAUUAUCUAUUUCGGGACAUCAGAACACUAACCACAGAAAGAGAUGAGAAGGGGGCUAGGAAGCUCCGACUACGGUCCUACAAACACCGAUCCGAACGAGGUGGAAUACGUCGACCGUUAGGGCUGUCACUACCCUAAGGCUACCACAACAAUCCGCAGGAUUGGGUGCAAUUCCAGGUAAUUACAAGACUAAACACCACGUCUAAUCUAUUAAUUACUACUCUAAUGUUUCAAAGAUUAGAGCACUUGAUGCAAGCGGGAAUCCAAUAAAUAACUUGAAUGUAAAUAAAAGUAAUUAGAGAACUUAGGAAUUAUGAAUUGAAGAACCUGGAGAACGAUGAAGAACGAACCAGUUGCUGCAAAAGUAUAAUGUUGAGGAAGAUCCGACAGAUCCGGCUCCUCCUCCGCUCUCCUCUUCUCUCUCCCUAUUUUCUAAAUUACAACUAGAACUAACUAGAACUAGAACUAGAGGAACUAGAACUAGAACUAGAUGAACUAGAACUAGAUCUAGAUGAACUAGAGGUAGAACUAGAAGAACUAGAGGGAUCCUCUCUACUUGGAUGAAGAAUUGAAACCCUAGCUUUGAUUCUGUACAAGAGGUAUGAUCUCCAGGGGCCAGGGGGUCUGGUUUUAUAGUCCCUUCAAGUGAAGCUGGGCCGUCGGAUCAAACCGACAUUGAUCGUGUGGUUUUCCUUGAAGUAUUAGGUCGGUGGAGCAUGAUCCCCGAGCUUCACCCUGAUUGGUCUAGGGGGGAGGGCGGGCGCCCAGUAAGGGAGGGCGGGCGUCCAGUGCCCGGCUCCGUUACGUUUCCCGUUCGCUCCCGUGGCUUCUGGACUCUUCUAGAUGGUAGAUAAUUGUGCGGCACGUUAAUAUCUCUAUGUAAACCCGACGUGUGGGCCUUUCUUCCGUAUUUCCUGAUAACCCCCUGCAGAAAUAGACAAACACCAAAACUUGUGGAAUUCUGUCAGAUAAAACCCUAAGUCUAGGUGUUGGUUGCAUUUGGAUCCUUUUCUAUGAUUAGUUGAUGGUUAAUUGUGAGCAUUAAGGACCGUCAACAAGCUCCCCCAAGCUUAACCUUUGCUCGUCCCUGAGCAAAGAUGAACUCAAGAGUUUCUGCAGUGGUUUCAUAACUUAAAGAUACACAUGAGUUUAAACAAGAUCUCAUCUCUGGUUAGAGUAAACUGUUAAGACUUAAAACUUACUCAUUUACCUUUCACCAUGGGACUUGUAACCGUCACUUCUGUCUUGAGUAGUUAAAAGAUAGAACGGUCUAGUCAAGCGCCAUGUCUCAUGUUCUUUGAUUAACUAUAGCUCUGGAGUUUUUGCAGAUUUUCAAAUAAAACUCAGAGAUUCCUUGUAUGACUCUCUCUAGUCUCUCUUUUGUGGUAUUUCUGGAUCCUUACCAAGGCAGUAAAGGUGUAUGCCUUCUCUCAAAGUAUGUGGUAUUUUUGGUAUGAGGCAUAGUGGCAUUGCCUUCUCUCUCACCCUACUCUAAUAAGGUUUUGAUAUCUGGAGCUCAUAGGUGGGAGACAGCUAAUACAUACUUACAAGACAUUUAUUGCAUAGUCAAACCAUGGAUCCAGAGAAACAAGUCAACAAGUCAAAUCAAGAUGUGCAUGUGUGGCGAAUGAAUGGUGUAUGGUGAUGAUGGUGAUAAUGGUGAAAGUCUAUUUCUACUUAUGCUCUUUUGAGGGGAUACACACCUUCCUUGCUCUUUUGAAACUUUUGGAGAAAAUGAGAUGCUCUAUUUUUUUUUCUCAGGUGGGUAUCUUGUACCCCUAAUUCUACUGUCGGACACUUGUCUAUUUUUACCUCUCGUCUCACUUUUUCUUUCUUUCGAGGUUCCGGGCACUUGCCCCUUUUUAUUUCCUCGUAUCUCUUUUUUAUUCUCUCAUUUUUUUCUUUUUUUUAGAGCACUCAUCUCCUAAAAUAAUAUAGCAAGUGGUAGUAACCAAGAUAACUUGAGCAUUUAUUUCACAGGGAAAAACAAAAAUAGGAGAAUGUUUUUGGCUAUUCUCUCCCGGAUUAGGAGUAGAAUAUUUUUGGGUGGUUCUGGAGAUGGAAAUGGAUGGAUAUAUGUGGAUGGUACUUCUGGAGUAGAAGCAGCAUGUAUGAGUGAACGUGCAAGUGAAUCUUGAUUUAACCACAUGACAAGCUCCUAAGGGUCUACACAGCUUGACCACACUCAAUGCUCAUAAGUAGUAAAGUAAAUGUGUGGUUCAUAGUCUAGCAAGCAUGUAUAUAUGGCUGUGGAAGGAAUUUAAACUCUCAUCAUACAGGAACUCAUCAUGCAACAUUUUAAAGAUUUUCAAAGAUAAAUUUCUCCAUAAUUCUAGCAUCUCUAAGAACAGAUAAACAGCAACUCAACCUUUCCAUAUCAUAUCCGUUAAUGACUUAGACUUUAGAUCAAGUACUCUCCCCAUAAGUUCAGGUUUAGAGCAAAUCUUAAUUAAUACCAGUCAUGCCUAAACUUGAGAGAGAUUUUAAUUUUGAGAACUAGCCAUGGCAGAGCAACUAUUCAUCAUUUCCAUGUGAGAGCUUAUCAUGAGGGUUCAUAGCAAACUUUAUUUAUUUAGCAAACUAAGCAAAGAUAUAUAUAAGCACAAAAUCUUUAUUUGGGUUUUUAUGAUUAUGCAUCUUUUUAUUAUUUGAGUAAAGUAUAAACGUGAGUAGAAACACUUAGCUGGAUAAAUGGGGGUGCUCUCCCCCAAGCUGGAUUUUGACGAAGUUUCUUCUGAUGUAGCUAGCAGGUGGCGGAGGUGUAUUUGAAUGUCAGCAGCACCCUGACAGCGAUUAGGAUGUCCUCCGUCUGCUAGUCUUCUUUGAUCCUUGAAUUCUGUGGAGCUCAAAUAGACAACAAAGCUUUGUGGAACUAGUUAAGUGUUAGCAUAAAUAUCUGACCUUUAUCAUGUUGAGCCUCCUCAAUAAAUAUUACUCUCUUUAGUAGGAUCAUAAAUUUAUUUUUAUAAUUUUAUUUUUUAUAGGAUAGAAAUAUAUUUAUUUCAUUUUUACGCCACCACAGUGGAUGUACUUAUGGGUUUUAUGCCAUGAGCAUACUCACAUGGGGCUUACUAUUUUUAACAUUUUUAUUUUCUUUUCAAGAUGAUAUGAACCUGAUUAACUAAGCAAACUAUUUUAAAUAGUUGAAAGGAAAAAGAUAACUACCAAGUUUACCUCUUGGCAAGACGUUCGGUGUUUUUAAGUCCUCCGAACGGGAGUCUCCAUUUUCUCAGUCGUCCUGGGAUUUGCUGGAUGGCGUAGUCGGUGGUUCCGGCGGCGCCUGCUCUUCAUGUAUAACUAUCUUCUCUCUACACACCUGACUCGGUGCUAUGGUCUCCUCAGGACAGUUCUGUUCAAGUUGUAUGUCUUCAGACCUUACAACUUCUCCUUCAUAGUCUACCCAUCUGUCCUUGAUGAUUUGUCUCCUCUGGCUGCGGUUGCGUCGUCGUCUUCUUGUCCUGACCUGCUUAGAGUCUUCAACUAUAUAGUUAGGAUCAGUAAAACAGUGGCGUAUCUUCUCUGAGGGGAAGUGCAUGUGGACUUCUCUGGUUCCAAUGUAUAUGAUUGCUUUAAUGGUGCUAAAGAACGGUCUUCCAAGGAUGAUGGGUGGAUCAUACUUGUCUUCUCCCAUGUCAAUAACCUUAAAAUCAUCUGGAGCUGAUUGUAUGUCGGUUUUAGGGGCAUGGUUCCGAAUAGGAGCUGAUAGGUGACUGGCGGCCAUUGUGUUGACGCCUGACCCGGUGUCGCAAAGCAUCUUCUGGAAGUUGUAUCCAUCAAUGGAGCACUGGAUGCUUGGCAUACUUGGGUCGUCCUUUUUGGUUAGGAACGGUGACUUAAGUCAACGAUCUUGACCUCCUUGAACUGCAGUGACCAUCUUUGCUGACUUGGUUCACAUUUUCUUGUUCCUGUUCCUCCUGUUGGUCCUCUUCCUUGUUUCAUGUCGGGAUUGCUCUGAGAUUUGUGUAGUCUUAUUCUUGAAGGUAAACGUCUCCUUCCUCCCCUUGAUGUAGAAACUGAUCUUGGCAGCACUAGCGUA
rnacentral:lncRNA from 1 species